GGGACUAAAGGGUUGGUCCUAGUAGCGGUCAGAGUUUAGUCCCACCUCGCCAACCGAAGGGCGCUCACACCGGUUUAUAAGCCCGUCCCUCUCUGCCUUGUUGAGCUCCUCUCAAAGUGAAAAUAGAUGCCCUUAUACAGGGAAUUUGACCUAAAUUCACAGUAAAUUUCAUAGAAUUAUUAUGAAUUUAGGUUGAAUUUUCUCUAUAGGCGCAUCUAUGUUCAACUUUUAUAGUAAAUAAAAUAAAUAAACCUUAAUAAAAUAAAAUAAAAUAAACUAUAGUAACUAAAAUAAAUAAACCUUAAUAAAUUAAAUAAAAAUAGCAGCAGUAAAAUAAAUAAAAAUAAAUACAUAAGUAAUUAGAAACAAAAUGGAAUAAAAUAAAUAAGUUUUUUGUUGUAAGUAGAAACAAAACAAAAUAAAUAAAGCAAAAGAGAAAACAAAAAACAGGGAAAAAAAUUAUGCCACCUACUGGGCCACCAUGGCCUGAAAACGACUUGAAACCCAUCCAUGGGCCAGGAUUCAGGCCCGCAGAAGGCCCAGUAGGCCCCAUAGGCAAAGAGAACGGUUAGGCCCGAAAGCCUGCAGUUGAGAGGAGCUCGAGAGGGUGGGCGCAGCAGCGCUUAUAAACCACUUUCGAGCUCUCUCAACUAGCGAGGUGGGACUAAACUUUUGACGCGGGGCAGCACAAGGCCUUUAGUCCCGGUUGGUGCCACGAACCGGGACCAAUGAGUUGCCUAUAUAUACCCCAUCGCCACAGCAGAGCACUCCACAGUGCUCUGUUUUUUCUGGCCGGCGAGGGGAGGGCAUUUGUGUGCUCUAGCUCACCUCCUAUGCACAUGAGGUGUUCGAUGAAAUGUCUGAGCCACACUAGUUAAUCUUUCUCCUCUCGAAACUCGACCUACGAGCUCCAUUUUCCCCGAGAUUUGUCUAGGUUUAGCGGUCCGUCACGUCCCGUCCCCAUCUUCACCGCCGUCGACCGCCCGCGCCGAUCUCGUCGCCAGCACCACCGUGGUGAGCCUCUUGUUCUUAUCUUCUUUCUGAAAGAAAAAAAAUUCUUACUUUAGAUAGAUACUUGUCUAAUUUUGUUACUUUUAUUAUUCCUUCUUAUUACAUAGUGCGAUGGUUUUGGUAUCCGCCCCCGUCGGCCCUCGUCAUGUCUAUGAUUCGGAUGUGGUAUAUAUUAUCUUUUUAUAACUAUUUGGUUCAUUUAUUGUUUAUGACAAAUAUGUCGACCAACGUGACAUAGAUUUUAUUUAUCUAGGAGGUGGUUGAACCGAAAAUUCUAACCGACCCUAUUGUCGAGAGGUUAAAUUUAGUUGAAGAAGAAAACAAUUACUUGAAGGGAAAAAUAAAAAAAAUUGAGGAGGAGAAGAUGAUAUUGGAGUUGCAUGUUGCGGAUGUCGUCGAUGAUCACAAGAUCAAGAUGGAUGCAAUGCGCUUGAAGAUUAGAAAGAUUAGAAAAUAUGCCAUUCAUACCGAGGCUUGGUAUCAUUAUGCCGUUGGAUCAAUUGUUACCUUGGUUGCCAUUAUGAUCGCAUUUGUUUUCGCAUUGAAAUGUUUUACAUAGUUUCAAUGUAUGGUUUAAUUAAUUAGAUUCUCUGGAGAGCUAUAUAUAUGUUGUUAGAUGAGAACUAUGUAUGUACUUUGGUUUUAAUGUGAUGAUGAACUUCUAUUAAUUUGGUCACUUAAUUAUCUAUUCAUGAUGUUCUGUAAUGGUUUUUGACACACUUACUUAUAUAUAAUGCACGCAGAUGAACCGGCAAUGGAUGUACGGUGACAGACACACCUCCGAGUACAUUAAGGGCGUGCAUGAUUUUCUCGAAGUGGCUGAGGCAAACAAGCAGAAUGAUUUUAUGUGUUGUCCAUGCCCUAUAUGUGGGAAUACGAAGUCUUACUCUGACCGGAAAAUCCUUCACACCCACCUGCUUUACAAGGGUUUCAUGCCACACUAUAAUGUUUGGACGAGGCACUGAGAAAUAGGGGUUAUGAUGGAAGACGGCGAAGAAGAAGAGGACGAUGACAACUAUGUGCCCCCUGAAUAUGGUGAUGCUGCAACGGGGGAAGCUGCUGAAGAUCAAGAGGAACCAGACGAUGUGCCCAAUGAUGCUGCAAGGGGGGAAGCUGCUGAAGAUCAAGAGGAACCAGUGCCCGAUGAUGAUGAUCUCCGCCGGGUCAUUGUCGAUGCAAGGAUGCAAUGCGAAAGUCAAAAGGAGAAGCUGAAGUUCGAUCGCAUGUUAGAGGAUCACAAAAAAGGGUUGUACCCCAAUUGCGAAGAUGGCAACACAAAGCUCGGUACCGUACUGGAAUUGCUGCGGUGGAAGGCAGAGAAUGCUGUGCCUGACAAAGGAUUUGAGAAGCUAUUGAAAAUAUUGAAGAAGAAGCUUCCAAAGGAUAACGAAUUGCCCGACAGUACAUACGCAGCAAAGAAGGUCGUAUGCCCUCUAGGAUUGGAGGUGCAGAAGAUACAUGCAUGCCCUAAUGACUGCAUCCUCUACCGCGGUGCGUACAAGGAUCUGAACGCAUGCCCGGUAUGCGGUGCAUUGCGGUAUAAGAUCAGACGAGAUGACCCUGGUGAUGUUGAUGGUGAGCCCCCCUGGAAGAGGGUUCCUGCGAAGGUGAUGUGGUAUGCUCCUAUAAUACCAUGGUUGAAACGUCUAUUCAGAAACGAAGAGCAUGCCAAGUUGAUGCGAUGGCACAGUGAGGACCGUAAGAAAGACGGGAAGUUGACAGCACCCGCUGACGGGUCGCAGUGGAGAAAAAUCGAGAGAAAGUACUGGGCUGAGUUUGCAGCUGACCCAAGGAACGUAUGGUUUGGUUUAAGCGCGGAUGGCAUUAAUCCUUUCGGGGAGCAAAGCAGCAAUCACAGCACCUGGCCCGUGACUCUAUGUAUGUAUAACCUUCCUCCUUGGAUGUGCAUGAAGCGGAAGUUCAUUAUGAUGCCAGUUCUCAUCCAAGGCCCUAAGCAACCCGGCAACGACAUUGAUGUGUACCUAAGGCCAUUAGUUGAAGAACUUUUACAGCUGUGGAAUGGAAACGGUGUACGUACGUGGGAUGAGCACAAACAGGAGGAAUUUAACCUGCACGCGCUGCUGUUUGUAACCAUCAACGAUUGGCCCGCUCUCAGUAACCUUUCAGGACAGACAAACAAGGGAUACCAUGCAUGCACGCACUGUUUAGAUGACACUGAAAGUAUAUACCUGGACAAAAGCAGGAAGAAUGUGUACCUGGGCCAUCGUCGAUUUCUUCCGACCAAUCAUCAAUGUCGAAAGAAAGGCAAGCAUUUCAAAGGCGAGGCAGAUCACCGGAAGAAGCCCGCCAUGCGUACCGGUGAUCACGUACUUGCUAUGGUCAAUGAUUUACACGUAAUCUUUGGAAAGGGUCCCGGCGGACUAGCUGUUCCGAAUGACGCUGAGGGACACGCACCCAUGUGGAAGAAGAAAUCUAUAUUUUGGGACCUACCCUACUGGAAAGAGCUAGAGGUCCGCUCUUCAAUCGACGUGAUGCACGUGACAAAGAACCUUUGCGUGAACCUGCUAGGCUUCUUGGGCGUGUAUGGGAAGACAAAAGAUACACCUGAGGCACGGGAGGACCUGCAACGUUUGCACGAAAAAGACGGCAUGCCUCCGAAGCAGUAUGAAGGUCGUGCCAGCUAGGCUCUUACGAAAGAAGAGAAAGAAAUCUUCUUUGAAUGCCUGCUCAGUAUGAAGGUCCCGACUGGCUUCUCGUCGAAUAUAAAGGGAAUAAUAAAUAUGCCAGAGAAAAAGUUCCAGAACCUAAAGUCUCAUGAAUGCCACGUGAUUAUGACGCAACUGCUUCCGGUUGCAUUGAGGGGGCUUCUACCGGAAAACGCCCGAUUAGCCAUUCUGAAGCUAUGUGCAUUCCUCAAUGCAAUCUCUCAGAAGGUGAUCGAUCCAGAAAUCAUACCAAGGCUAAGGAGUGAUGUGGCGCAAUGUCUUGUCAGUUUCGAGCUGGUGUUCCCACCAUCCUUCUUCAAUAUCAUGACGCACGUCCUAGUUCAUCUAGUCGACGAGAUUGUCAUUCUGGGGCCCGUAUUUCUACACAAUAUGUUCCCCUUUGAGAGGUUCAUGGGAGUCCUAAAGAAAUAUGUCCGUAACCGCGCUAGGCCAGAAGGAAGCAUCUCCAUGGGCCAUCAAACAGAGGAUGUCAUUGGGUUUUGUGUUGACUUCAUUCUUGGCCUUAAGAAGAUAGGUCUCCCUAAAUCGCGGUAUGAGGGGAGACUGACUGGAAAAGGCACGCUUGGAGGGGGGGACUCAAUAAUAUGCAGGGACGGAUAUUCUUGGUCUCAAGCACACUACACAGUUCUACAGAACUCUACCUUGGUGACCCCGUAUGUCGAUGAACACAAGAACAGUCUGCGCUCCAAACACCCGGAGCAGUGUGACGACUGGAUUACAUGUGAACACAUCAGGACUUUCAGCAGUUGGUUGGAAACACGUCUCAGAGGUGACACCACUGUUUGUGAUGAGUUGUACUCGUUGUCCAGGGGACCAUCUUCGACUGUAUUGACUUACAAAGGAUACGAGAUAAAUGGGAAUAUAUUUUACACGAUCGCCCAAGAUCAAAAGAGCACCAACCAAAACAGCGGUGUCCGCUUUGAUGCAGCAACUGAGAGGGGAAAGGACACAUAUUAUGGUUACAUAAUGGACAUAUGGGAACUUGACUACAGACAUGAUUUUAAGGUCCCUUUGCUUAAGUGCAAAUGGGUCAAUCUGUCAGGAGGCGGGGUACAGGUAGACCCACAGUACGGAAUGACAACAGUGGAUCUGAACAAUCUUGGGUACACUGACGAACCGUUCGCCCCAGCCAAUGAUGUGGCACAGGUUAUCUAUGUGAAGGACAUGUCUACCAGACCGAGAAAAAGAAAAGAUAACGAAGCGAAUACAUCAUACGAUGAGCCAAAGCGCCACAUAGUUCUUUCAGGAAAAAGGGACAUUGUGGGAGUGGAGGGCAAGACAGACAUGUCUGAAGAUUAUGAAAAGUUUCAUGAAAUUCCUCCCUUCAAAGUCAAGGCUGACCCAAGCAUCCUGAGAAACGAUGAAGAUUAUCCAUGGUUACGGCGCAAUAAGCAAAUGACACAAGCGAAGAAAAAGUGAAGACUUUCUCCCGCAACUAUUAUGAUGAUACCAUGCCAACUUUGUAAUAGACGAGUAUGAUACCAUUGUCCGUUUUGUACACAAAGUGCAUCUAGUUUUUGCCAUAACCCUGUCAACUUUCUUGCACAUGCUAUGUGGAUGAAAUGAUGAUACCAUGCCAACUUUCAACCUUUUCAGAGUUCAUUUGAAAUGCUUUUCAAUUAGGGUCUUAUAGCUCCAAAUAAUUAGUAAAUGCAUGAAAAAUAACAAAUGAAGUCAGAAAGGGUUGAAAAUUGAUGAGAUGUGGCUUUGAAUGGUGCAUUUUGAACACACAAAAAGUCAGGAGUUCAAAUAAGUUUUAAAAAAUGAAAUCCCUUUGUAACAGACGAGUUUCCGUAUGAAAUCCUGAUACUUCGAAAGAGAUUGUCCGUUUUGUACACGAAGUGCAUCCAGUUUUUGCCGUAACCCUCUCAACUUUCUUGCACAUGCUAUGUGGAUGAAAUGAUGAUACCAUGCCAACUUUCAACCUUUUCAGAGUUCAUUUGAAAUGCUUUUCAAUUUUAGGGUCUUAUAGCUCAAAAUAAUCAGUAAAUGCAUGAAAAAUAACAAAUAAAAUAAAUAAGUAAUUAGAAACAAAAUAAUAUAAACUUUAAUAAAAUAUAUAAGUAGAAACAAAAUAAAAUAAACUUUAAUAACAUAAAUAAAAUUUAUGAAACUAAAAUUAUCAAAGUAUUUUCUGUACAAAACAUUAUAAGCAACCUCUAGUAUUAUUGAAACUAAAAUUAUAUAAAAUUGAUGCAACUAAAAUUAUCGAAGUAUUUUCUAUUCAAAAUCGUUGAAAGCAAAAAUAAUUUUCAUAAAGAACUUUUUUUGUUAGAAACUUUAAUAGCAAAAAGAAUUAUCAUAAAGUAAAAUAAAUAAGUAAUUAGAAACAAAAUAAAAUAAAAUAAAUAAGUUUUUUGUUGUAAGUAGAAACAAAACAAAAUAAAUAAAACAAAAAACAAGGAAAAAAUAAAAAAUUAUGCCACCUACUGGGCCACCACGGCCUGAAUACGACUAGAAACCAAUCCAUGGGCCAGGAUUCAGGCCUGCAGAAGGCCCAGUAGGCCCACAGGCAUGUACAGAGACGUUAGGCCCGUAAGCCUGCUUUAGAGAGGAGCUCGACAGCUCAGGCACACCGCACCUUAUAAACAGGUGCGGCUCUCUCUCAGCUAGCGAGGUGGGGCUAAACUCCCACCACCACGCCGCUGUGCAAGGCCAUUGGUCCCGGUUGGUGGCACGAACCGGGAGCAAUGCCCCCUUUGGUCCCGGUUCGUGGCACCAACCGGAACCAAUGCCCCCCCUUUAGUCUCGGUUGGUGCCACCAACCGGGAAGCGUCGGCCUUUGGUCCCGGUUGGUGGCACCAACUAGGACUAAAGGGGGCAUUAGUCCCGGUUGGUGCCACGAACCGAGACUAAUGCUUGGACUAUAUAUCAAACACUUGUGAAAAAUUUUAGUUUNNNNNNNNNNNNNNNNNNNNNNNNNNNNNNNNNNNNNNNNNNNNNNNNNNNNNNNNNNNNNNNNNNNNNNNNNNNNNNNNNNNNNNNNNNNNNNNNNNNNNNNNNNNNNNNNNNNNNNNNNNNNNNNNNNNNNNNNNNNNNNNNNNNNNNNNNNNNNNNNNNNNNNNNNNNNNNNNNNNNNNNNNNNNNNNNNNNNNNNNNNNNNNNNNNNNNNNNNNNNNNNNNNNNNNNNNNNNNNNNNNNNNNNNNNNNNNNNNNNNNNNNNNNNNNNNNNNNNNNNNNNNNNNNNNNNNNNNNNNNNNNNNNNNNNNNNNNNNNNNNNNNNNNNNNNNNNNNNNNNNNNNNNNNNNNNNNNNNNNNNNNNNNNNNNNNNNNNNNNNNNNNNNNNNNNNNNNNNNNNNNNNNNNNNNNNNNNNNNNNNNNNNNNNNNNNNNNNNNNNNNNNNNNNNNNNNNNNNNNNNNNNNNNNNNNNNNNNNNNNNNNNNNNNNNNNNNNNNNNNNNNNNNNNNNNNNNNNNNNNNNNNNNNNNNNNNNNNNNNNNNNNNNNNNNNNNNNNNNNNNNNNNNNNNNNNNNNNNNNNNNNNNNNNNNNNNNNNNNNNNNNNNNNNNNNNNNNNNNNNNNNNNNNNNNNNNNNNNNNNNNNNNNNNNNNNNNNNNNNNNNNNNNNNNNNNNNNNNNNNNNNNNNNNNNNNNNNNNNNNCCCUCGAAGUGAGCCCCCCCUUUCCCAUGGUCCCGAUCGAGCGCCGCUCUUGCGCCCGAGUGCCCCUUGCUCUCUGCCGCCCCUGCUCCAUGGUCGCCGCCGGCCCCGACGCAUUGAAGAGCAGAAGGAGAGGAGAAGGAGAGGAGAGGAGAAGGAGUGGAGCAGCAGCAAGACGCCGUCCAAUUUUCUGAUUUUUUUUACAAAUAUGAACAGUGCAUAUAGAGGGUGUUUGAUCAAAUGCUAGAUGGCUUUGGGCAUUUUUAGAAUUUAUGAUAUUUUUAGAAUGUGCUAAAUAUGUCAAAAAAGUUUUUUUGUUCAUAUACAGAAAGUUUUUUAUAUAUGACUAUGGAUAUAUGAGCAAUGAUGAUCCAUGGAUGUAUGCAUUGAUAUAUAUGAGAAACGAUGUUCAUAGAAUAUUUACCAAGUAUAUAUGUAUUUUUGUUCAUAGCAUUUUUUCCAUUCAUAUAUGUAUGUGGCUAUAGAUGGAUAUAUAUGAGAAAUGAUGAUCCAUGGAAAAGUUUUAUAUAUGCAAAAGUUACAUUUUUAGAAAAGUUUUAUAUAUCUAGCUAGGAAAGGAAGAAGAAGAAAAAGAAGGAGAGGAAAAAGGAAAAUAAGAAGAGGAAGAAAGGAGAAGAAGAGGAGAGGAAGAAGAGGAGAAAUAAAUAAGAAGAGGAAAAAAGAAGGAAAAGAAGAGGAGAGAAGAAAGGAAUAGAAGAGAAGAAGAAAAAAUAGAAAAAAUUCUAUUUUUUCUUCGUCUCUCCUCUAUUCCUUUCUUCUUCUCCUCUUUUUUUCUUCUUUUUUUCUUCGAUCUUCUCCUCUAUUCCUUUCUUCUUCUCCUCUUUUUAUUUCUUCUUCGUUUUCUUAUGUUUUAUCGGGUCUGUCGUCGUCGAUAUACCCCUCUCCCGAUAACUUCAACACGAGGGGGGGUCGAUAUACCCCUCCCCGAUAAUAUUAUUUUCCCAUGUACGUAUGUCGUCGUUGUCGAUAUAACCCCCUCCCGAUAACUUCAACACGUGGGGGGGGUCGAUAUACCCCCUCCCCGAUAACAUUAUUUUCCCAUGUAUGUAUGUCGUCGUUGUCGAUAUAUAUAACUCCCUCCCAGAUAACUUCGACAUGAUGGACGGUCGAUAUUUAUACCCCCUCUCGACCGUGACAACUUAUACCACGGGAGCACCCCCCGGCCCUCUCGCUCGACCAAAACUCUCGAGGACACCCAAACCCUAGAAAAAACGAUGUCGGUCUCCUAGCCCCUCCCGCCGCGCCCCUACCCUUGAAGCGUUGCCGAGGCCACCUCAAACCCGGAAUAAGCUAGGUCUACGUUUGCACUAAUAUAUCCACCUGCUGUCAUGUUUGUGUAAUAAUUGCCAUGUUGUAAUAUUUGCAGAAACAAUGGAGCACGGACGAGACGAGCAAGCAGAAGAGGUGUUGGGGUACAUAAUCUUAGCCGGAGGUGAUAUCUUGUCGUAUCUUAACGACAAUGAUGGUCUGGAAGAACAGGGUGAAGAAGCAGGCUACGGUGAUCGAAGAGUGGAGGAGAAAAGACAUGAUUAUGAUGGCUCCGGUGACCCAAUGCUGGUGCAAGAAGGAGCCCGUGGUGACGGCUCCGGUGACCGAACAGAGUCCGGCCAGGUAAAUAUAUUAGUUAAGCCUGUGCUGACUAGCUAAUUGAUGCAUUCAUUGUUUUGGUAUGUACACAUAUUAAUUAACACUCGUCUUUCUUCUUUUUUCUAGCCCUCCGGAUCGAGCACAACUGUGGUAAAGAGACGAGGCCCGAAGAGAAAGUUGCGCUCGGAUGAAAGGCUUGAGAUCACAGCAAUCGCGCGCGACGGCCAACCGAUUGAACCCAUCCGGACAAAGGAUGCAUUUGCUGCUCAGUGCGGGGUUCUAGUUAGGGACAAGAUCCCGAUCAGCAUCUAGCAAUGGUAUAAGCCUAAGAAGGAAGACCCUGAGGUGUCUUAUGUCAAUGAUAUGCAGAAAGAUGAUCUUUGGACUGAGCUGAAGGCAAAUUUCACCCUACCGCCAGAGGAGGAUCCGGAGAAGCCAGUUAAAGAGCAAUUAAUCAAGUCUCAUGCUCUUAAGAAGAUGGCAGACCUAUUCAGGAGGUGGAAGAAUGAGCUGAAAACGUGUGUCGACAAAGAAGAGACACCAGAAUUCAUCGGCCGGUAUGAGAAGAUCAGAGAUCACUGGCCCGCAUUUGUGGCCCACAAGACAUCGGAAAAGAGUAAGAAGAUGUCAGCGACAAACAAGAAGAAUGCUGCGAAGAAGAAGCUUCACCAUCGCACGGGGUCAGGUGGCUACCUCAAAGCCCGGCCUAAGUGGGCCAAGGCUGAGAAUGAUCUGCUUGAAAAAGGGAUCGAACCACAGACAAUGAACUGGACAGACCGUUGCCGGACUUGGUUCUUCGGGGCUGGCGGAACCUUGGACCCUGUAUCAGGGAGGUGCGUUUGGACGAACGAGCUUUUGAGAAUACCAGUCAAGAAGAUUCAGCAAUAUAUCGAUGCAGCGCAGGAAGGGACGUUUGUUCCAGACAGAGAGAACGACGAGCUCACAAUGGCCCUCGGGGAUCCUGAGCACCCUGGACGGACACGAGGCACGCCAGGUUCCGUUCCGUGGAAGGCUGGUUUUCCGGACGCAGGCGGUUACAAAAGCCAGGAGAGGAGGAAAAAAAUGGAGCAGACCCAAAUUCAGAAGCUGCACGAAAGGGUUCAAGCGCUAGAGGAACGAGACGGCAAUCGACAUGCCGAAACUACCCCCGAAGCUACCCCGCCAUCUCAGCGGAGAAGCGGCGUGGCUUCCACCGAGCUGCUUCAGCCGGAGCAUGUCUUGACGGCUCCUGCUAGCUACCCCGUGGAUGCUAUCAUGGAGUCUCAACAUUGCCACCUUAUGGCGGAAUGGCAAAAAUUCAAAGUCAAGGCGGCUGUUGGCUCUGUUUUACCUCCUGAACCCGGCGCAACCUACCACUGCCGGCCGAUUCCAGAAGGAUAUGCUAGGGUGAUGGUGGAUGAAAUAACGGAGGGAUUUGAGGACCUCCAGCUUGACCACCCUACCGGUGAAGGGGAGACUCGACUGGGUUUAGCUCUGAAGACUCCGUGCCUAUGGUGGAAGGAGCUCAUUAACCUUCCGAACUGGACGCCUCCGGCGAGUAAGGGCACUCCGCCGCCGCCUCCUCCUCCGGCGAGUGAUUAGGGCACUCAGCCUCCUUCUCCGGCGCGUGGCGGCACUCCGCCUCCUCCUCCGGCAAGUGAUCAGGGCACUCAGCCUCCUUCUCCGGCGCGUGCGGCACUCCGCCUCCUUCUCCGCCCGCGCCGGCGUGCCAGAGCAGCCAGCCUCCUCCUUCUCCGCCUCGUCAGCAAGGGCAGAAGAGACCCGCCGCCGCUCCGGCUGCUCCGGCGCGUUGUAGUCCUUCUCCUCCGCCUCGUAAGCAAGGAAAGAAGACAGCCGCAGCCGCUCCGUCUGCUCUGCCGGCGUCUAGCAGUACAGUUGCCAGAGGCGGGAGGCAAUACAGAUUCAGUCCUUCUCUGAAGACUCCAGAGAAGUUACCAUACGAGAGGACCGAGGAGGAGAACGCGAAGAUCGUGCGAGCCGAAGUGAAGAACUUCUUUGAAGGGGUGAAAGCAAAGAAACAUCCACCUCCGGCGGAGAAGGUAGAUCCGGUGAAAGCGAAGCGCACUCUGGAUGCCCUGACAAAACCACCAAAGUCUCCGCCGAAAGGCUACUAUGAGCGCAUUAUUGCAAAGACAUUUGUCGAAGCGGAGCGGUCGGGAAGUACUGUCAGUGAUCAAAGGUUAAAAGAACGACGAGCUGGGAAAAAAAUUGCCCAGCUCGGCGAACCAGCGAACCAAUCGUGCCCCCCGCUCAAGGUGUCUAAAGACAUCGUCGCUAAUGAUCCGAGGAUGGUGGCCGGUUAUAGCAAUCUUGGAGAUUACCUGCCUGACGAUGUACAUUAUGAAAUCAUGGAGGUGGACGAACACAAAUACCAUUACGGGAAGCCUCUCGUCAAAGAUGAAAGAUCUCUAACAACGAUGAUGCGAAGAUUACAUGAUUGAUACAUGAAAACCUGCAGAGAGUCUGAUGGGAUGAAUACUUUGACGCUGAGAGUUAAACUGGAGCAUGACCUCGUUGGAAUUGAACUGCUGAAUGUUCCAUUUGAGGAGUUCUUCCAGUUUUUCAAUCAAAAGGCCCUCGAUAAAUCAACGAUCACUUGCUACUAUCUGUAAGUAGUACUACUUUUGUCAUUAAGUCUCUCUAUAUAGGUCAGCUCUUUCAUUGCAUGUAUUUAUAAUUAUCCUCACUAUAUUAGGCAGAUUGAAGAUCGCCGAAUUGAAGAAAAGACAAAUCGGUGAUAUUGGGUUCAUUAACACAAAUCUCAUAGAUGCAUAUAUGGUUGAAAAACAUGCCAAAGGAGCCGAGGCCAACUUGCUACGAUCGUUGGUAUUAAAUCAAAACAAAGAUAUAAUACUCUUUCCUUACAACUUCAAGUGAGUGUUACUGUCUUGUGCAUAUUCGGUUUCCCUUAUUAGUCCAGGUUAUGGUAAUGUAAUUGAUGACUUAUGCAUGCAUGCGCAGCUUCCACUAUAUUCUCCUAGAGAUUAAGCUUCAGCAGGGAGUAGUAACCGUCUUAGACUCGAGACGAAAAGAUCCCCAGGACUAUGCGAACAUGACUCAAAUGCUCGAGAAGUAAGUUAAAUCGAUCAUUAUCCACCAUAUCAGCAACUUUGUUCAUUUCCUGAUAUCAAGUAAUUGUUUUCUUUGUCUGGCAGGGUUUGGAGAAAAUUCACCACAAAAGCUCCGGGGCUGCCGAAGAAGCUGCAAUUUAAACACCCGAAAGUAAGUACUAUAGUAGCAUGUUCUGCGCAUCUCCUAGUGAUUCAAGCGCUAGUUUCAUCAAUACCAUUUAGCAUGCUUGCUUAUCAGUUAGAUUGACCUUUAUUUCUUGUAAAGUGGUUGUGGCAGGAACAAGGGAAUGAUUUCUGUGGAUACUACGUUUGCGAGUCUAUCCGCCACACGACCUGUGAGCGGGGCUAUUCUGACGAACAAUAUGAAGUGCGUAAGCAAUAAUAUUCACAAUUUUAUUUUAUUACCACCAUUUGUGUCGAGUUUCAUUUAUUCAUAUAUAUAUAUGUAUUGACCCCCUUCUUCAAAUUACAUGUUUCGGAUGCGGGAUGAACUCCUAGCAGAAGAUCGUAUGCGAGCAAUUCAAGAGGAAUUGGCGGCAUUCUUCCUUGACCACGUGAUCGCUGGAAAUGGAGAAUACUAUGUGGACCCUGUGUUCUUACAAUUUAAUUAGGAGAUUAUAUUGUAAGAGAUAAUUAUUGUAUAUAUGUAGCCGGUAGUGUCAGAUAGAUAUACGAGAACUUGUUGUUCAACCAAUCUCUUGGAGAAGGAGAGGUGGUCGAUAUCACUUCUCUCUGUAUGCAUAUGUUCAUGAUGAUCUUCUGUUUUCUUCAUUUGCUUACUAGCUAGCGUGUCUAGUCCUCUCCAUACGUAUAUAGUACGUAGCGUCGACCAAGCACGGAGAUAAGAGAGGACACUUCUCUCUAUUAAUUAGCUAGCUAACACAAUAUAUGAAACACCUAAAUNNNNNNNNNNNNNNNNNNNNNNNNNNNNNNNNNNNNNNNNNNNNNNNNNNNNNNNNNNNNNNNNNNNNNNNNNNNNNNNNNNNNNNNNNNNNNNNNNNNNNNNNNNNNNNNNNNNNNNNNNNNNNNNNNNNNNNNNNNNNNNNNNNNNNNNNNNNNNNNNNNNNNNNNNNNNNNNNNNNNNNNNNNNNNNNNNNNNNNNNNNNNNNNNNNNNAAAAACCCCAGCCCCUGAAAUGCUGACGCGUGGAUGCCUAUUGGUCCCGGUUGGUGACACCAACCGGGACAAAAGGCCCUGCCUAUUGGUCCCGGUUGGUGGCACCAACCGGGACCAAAGGCCCCCCGCCUGGGCUGGCAGCAGCGGCCACGUGGAGGACCUUCUGUCCCGGUUCGUGUAAGAACCGGGACUAAAGGGUUAGGGCUUUAGUAACGACCCUUUAGUCCUGGUUUGAAAACCGGGACAAAAGGCCCUUACCAACCGGGGUAAAAGCCCCUUUUCCUACUAGUGUGUUAAACAUUUCUGAAUAAUUUAGUGAGCUAAAAAUAAAAAAGUUAAGAAUAACAAAUUGGAAAAUAUGAACUGCAAGCCACCUGUGGAUCUUUGUUGUAUGCAUUAUUCUCAAAGGAAUGGGCUGACGAUUAGUUAUGUCACUCACCCACUCACUCUUAUUGACCUACAAGGGUGCUAAAUCAACACCAGCAACACAGAUGCUUCUUGUAAGUAAUAGAUGACCAUUUUACAAUGUUUUUGCUCAUUGGCCUUGUGUGAAGUAUUUUAUUGAGUUAAUUGCACAAAUCACAUGUAUUAGAGCUAAGAUAACACAUAACCAUAUGUUUGGCCAUUUUUUUAGAAAGUCGUCAUCGAUCCCAAAUUGCACGCUUCAUAAGGUUUGGAAGAAAUCCUGAAAUCAAGGGGCCGAUAGUGAUACCAUCCAUGUGGCCUUAGCUCCACGUACCUAUAGUGUUCCGCGGUGGGUAAAACUAUACCUGUUUUUCCUUAUCAUAUAGUGGCAUCAAAUCAAUGUGAAUAAAGAGUAUAGACCCACCAACCAACCCAACUGACAUUGUCCUAAUGGGCGUGCAUAUAUACAUCGCUAGCUUCAACAAGUGGUGGCAAGCUCGAUCGUCUACUACUAUAAGAUUGGUUUCGAAUGGGAAAGACAAAGGAAGUACUAGCCCAAAGACAUGAGAUGAGAAGAGGACUGGAGGAGGAUUUGAAAUUAAAAGCAUUUAGGGAGUAGGAGGCGUCAUGAAAGAGGGCAAUGGUGCUCAGCGGAGAACAUGAUGAUCCACUGCUAUCACGAGUUACUUGAAGCUAAAAAUUGGCACCAUCAAUGAAGAUAAGUGUAAUUCAAUGUAUAAUUGCAAGUAGCAUGAGAGAAACCGAGAAAUGCUGAGUAGCAUCCAGGAGCUCCCCUCACUGAUAUGUGUGCAUUCUCUACACCUUAGGAUCGCUUUCCAUUGCACUAAUAACAGACAUUUACUCCCAUAUGUGACAUUUUCAAUCCUACACAUCCCAUAUGUGUCAUUUCUCUACCAAGUCAUAUACCACCUUGUUGUAGUUGUCCUUCCCUGUUCAACCAUCCUCUUCAUCUCCUGGUCCGCACCUACGAUAUGUGCUCUUGUACGGCGGCUGUCCCAACACAUCAAGCCUUGGAGGAAGGAAGGAUAAAAGCACUCAUGAGGGGAGAACGAUGAAGCAUCAAAGAAAUGAACCGAAGAAACUUUGUCUGCGUUGCUGCUUGCUCCUUAUUCUUCCCAAUCCUGUAUCCUUCCUUAGUCUCAUUAUAUAUUCUCCACAAGCGACUACUGUACACUCAACCCACGUCUGGCGAUUGCCAUGGCAACGGGUUGUGAGUUGUGACAACAUAAUCUUCUUCAGCUGUGUUUUCCUUCUUUUUCCUCUUUCUGAAAUCACCAGCGUUACAAGCAACAUGUUCAGUUCAGGUGGCAUGUCGCAUGCCAGGCACAUACAUAUUCCUCCAAGAACAAAGCCUCUCCGCUGCCCCCGUUGUUGUGUUCUCUCCUGAUCAUCCUCAUGGCCUAUUAUCAGUACAUAUGAAUUAGGCUUUUUGUGUGUAAAGUUCAUGCUGAUGCACUUUUAUUUGUGCAAACUGCAACUUGGGAGCUUGCUCGUAAGAACCUCAAUUUCUCGAUUACAGAUUAAUAGCAUUGCUUUUCUCGUAAGAGAUUUAUAAUGAAGUUCUUUUGGUGGAGUUUUUAGCUAGCAACACUUGGCUAGUCUCAAUAGAUUUGCAUGCAUAGGCAGGGGCAGAUGGUGCUUUGGCUUUUCUGAUAUUUGGCUACAAUUGUUGCUGCUUUCUUGGAGCAUAAGGUUAAUCUAUGCAUCAAUUUGGCACGCAUCUCUCUGCUACCGAAAGUUGAGGUCCGCUGGGAAAUCAAAGCAUUAUCGCCCCAGUCUUUUUGGUCCAUAGUCUCAUUAAAUUGCUGACAAAGGUUCUGGCUAUCCAGCUGCAGCAAUUCACUGCACACCUUGUUCAUAGCAUGCAGGCAGGGUACAUUAGAGGGAAGGCUAUUGUUAAAAACUUUGCGUAGGCCUCGGAGCCUGUUAAAUGUGCGCAAAAGAGGCGGCUACCCAUGAUCGUAAUAAAAUUAAACUUCCAAAAAGUAUUUCACAAUAUCGGUUGGGAUUGCAUUUUGAAUUACCUAUUGUAACAUAGCGGCAUUGGUGACAAAACGGGUACAAUGAAAUAAGGCUAUCCUGAAAAUUGUUCAAGCUCAGGUUCUUCUUUAUGGUUUUGAUUGCUUCUGAGUGUGGAGUUUCACAAGAGGGUCCGUUAUCGCCUUGCCCUUUCAUUCGUGUUGCUGGUAUUCUCCAAAGGAUGUGCGUCAACACUCUAAUCAUGGUUGUCUUGCUAACCCAUCAAUAGCAAUGGUCCACUUCCUGGUGCUGCAGUAUGCAGACGACAUGAUUAAUUUUGCUCCAGGGUGAAUGGUCAAAUGAACAUAAGGCUGAUUGUCUUGUUGCUUGGGAACAAACCAAUCAAUUUACGCAAUGAAGAACAGAGGCUUGGGCGUUCACAUCUCAACUGAAACCUCCUAUCAUCAAACUACAGGCUGCUAAAGUUAGGUAUGGAGCUCUCUGUUCCAGAAGAAGGCCCAACAAGAUUGUAUUACCUCCAUCCCAAAUUACUUAUCUUAUAUUUGUCUAUACAAGGAUGUAUCUAACACUAAAACGUGUCUAGAUACAUCCGUAUCUAGACAAAUCUAAGACAAAUAAUUUAGGAUGGAGGGAGUACAUGUUUUCUUACGGCCGCAUAGCACAUGUUUUCUUACGGCCGCAUAGUCGUUUCAUGUAACAUUCUGCUAUACUGCAUCAUUUCUUCACUUCUAUUCUUUUUCGUUUUCGUGUUUUCUCUUCAUUGGCAUUGGCCUUUGCUCUGUGGUGUGACCUGGAUAUGGUCUACUUCAGGUUGCCUUGCUCCUUUGAGCAAUUCUCAGAUCUUUUUGGAAUAUACUCCCUCUAUAAAGAAAUAUUUAUAUCACUACUAUAGUGAUCUAAACGGUCUUAUAUUUCUUUACGGAGGGAGCAUAAGGUAGACAGUAGCCUCUACCUUCUUAUCUAAGAAUAUCUCUAGGAAAUUGAGUACACAAAUGUGGUCACACUUCCGACACAUCUACUAAUCUCGCCAGAAAACAACUUUGGAUAUAUUGUCAACUACUAUCAAACAUGUGUUCACAAAAUAAAAUUUGGGUGUUGCAGCAAUUCAAAGUAAUCCUGAGGUGGAGAUAAUUAGUACUAGUCUGACCCAGUUGAUACGUACUGUGAUGAAUCCUUGAAUGAUAGUUUAUAUCCUUCUGACCAUCAUGGUGAUGCUACUCUGUGCAUACACAAUUUUGGUCAGCAGGGUCACAAAUCCCGAUGCCUCUGAUUCCUAUGGGGCACACAUUUGGGCUUCAACAGCACCGCAAAAACAGUUUAGACUCGGUGCAAAACUUCUAUCCAUUAUUUAUGUGGUUGUGGUGUAUUUUGAUAUGAUCCUAGCAAUGGUGAGCUCUAGCCUUUGCUCAGCCUCCGGUGUGCACGAUAGCUUCUUUAUGAGUUUUGACCCUGCUCCAUGUCCCUUCUCGUGCUUAAAUAUAAAUACAUGUGACACAACAACCAUGCAAUGGAUGUUUGUUAAGUUUCUUUAAGCAACCACAUUUUGAGAAAGCUUUUGCAUUUGCCGCCUUAGGUCGCAUUGACGGUAAAGAGAAGAAACAGGGCUAAGAAACCACAAUGUUCAUAAUGUAAAAUUAUGUAUAGGCCAAAAUUCAUCAUAUCAUAAUUUGGUAAAAGCCUACCUAAAUCUCUAAGCUGGAAUAUGAAACGAGUAGCAACAACAUAGUCGGAAGGGGUGUGUCGUUCCAUCACAAUCGCAUCAUUAGAUCAUUGUCUAACGCCUAUGGUGUGAUCGCCCUUCCUUGUACCACAAAACACAUGGGUGUGUCAGAAAACACAAAGACUCGAAGGGCUUUUCACAAAAGAUAGGAGGUAGUUGGGCCUCAGUCGCCCUCUCGGUGGCAAUUUUUCUGCACUGAUCAGUAGAAACUUGGACCACUGUGAACACAAAUACCAAGUUAAAGUGUUUAUUUGACUAUUUAUGAGUUCACAAAGUAAAGCAAAAUUAGCUGCCAAGUUAAAAGACCCUGGGUUCAUUUUAUGUAUUUUAAGUUAACUAGUCCACAUUUCUUACCAGUUGCAUUCUGUCAUCAGACCUGCAAUUUGUAUCACAUAUUGUUACUUUAUUAUUUCACACAACAUGGUGUCGCAGGUCUUCAAUUUUUUGACUUAAUUAAUAUGCCACCUAUUUAGGGACGGAGGAAGUACCUUGCUAUCAGUGGGCUUCUCAGAAUAUCAUAAAAGGAAACUACAUCUAUUUUUCCAUUGUUCUAUUUCCUAUCUUUAUAUCCAUGUGUUGUUGUGUUGUCACAUUGAAUGUUGCAUUUAGUAUCUGGUAUAUGUUCAACGGUUCCUUGGUCUGUCAUCCGAGCUGCAGUUUGUAUCACCAUAUUGUUACUUUCCUAAUAUAUGUGAUAGUAGUUUGCAUUUUACUGCACUACAUUCACAUCUUCAACUACCUAUAUCUCUUCAUUAUCGUCAAGAGACUGGGAUGUACCAUGUGUGGUCCUUUUGGUGGAUCUUUAAUUGAAUAGUUUAUUCCAAACGAACCGAGAAACGAUAAGCUAUGUCAAAAACUCUUGCAAAUAUGUAAAUGUACUGAAUCAAUUGCAUUGUUGCGAUGAUUUUGCUCGUGAAUACUAGCCGGCAGAUGUAUUUAUAUUUAGGUAACAACACAGGAAUUAUUGUAUGCCUGCGCAUGAAGACCAGUGCUUCCAUGGCUUGGCCUUGGGGCCGAACGGUGGUGCGGUGCCCACCAUGAUAGAUCGGGAUCCAUGGCUGGCUGGAAGAGGUUCCGCAAGAAUGGGGUUGCACGGGAGAGAUAAAGGUUUUUUUUUGCAAAAGCAAAGAGGGGAGCGGUGGGAGUCUUUUUGUUAAAGUACCACCGCUGCCUUGCAUGCGCUAGAUAUAGAUCGAAUGGUCCAAUGUGUGCUCGGACCCCUACUCCCGCGGAUGUCAUCAAACAAAUUCAGUCCAAAUUUGGUUCGGUUUGGUUUGGUAGUACUUUGCUUCGUUUCCUUGCGAUGUACGAUAGAUAGAUGUCCAAUCACGCGUUUCCCCGCUUCAAUAAAUAAAUUCCCCCGGGAGCUAGCCCGGCCCAUCCGCAGCAACCAAAUCUCCCAUAUUUUCCUCUCCUCUGCCGCCGCCACCGCGUUUCUAGGGUUUCCCCCAUCCCCAAUUCGUCCGCCACCACCUCCAGCCUAGAUCCAGCAGUGAUGGCGACCGCAGAGGCAGGUGAGAACAAGAUGAUCAUGCUCAUAUCGUCUGACGGCAUGGAGUUCGAGGUAGAGGAGGCAAUCGCCAUGGAGUCGCAGACCAUCCGCCAAAUGAUCGAGGAUGAGUGCGCCGGCAAAGGCAUUCCGAUCCCCAACAUCAACUCCAAGAUCCUCUCCAGGGUCAUCGAGUACUGCAACAAACACGUCCCGACCAUGCCAACCACUGGAGCCACCGGUGCCGCCACGUCUGACACCGUGGCUCCCGCCGCCCUAGCCGAGGACCUCAAGAUCUGGGACAGAGAAUUCAUCAAGGUCAACCGUGCCACCCUCUUAGAUCUCAACCAGGUAUGAUAUCCUUCAGUUCGACCAUUUUCUUUUUCUAGAUCUACUUUUUCUUGAUGUUCCCCUUCUGGCACUCGAUCUAGAUUGGGCUUGCGCGUCUUGGUACUAUUUAUAUUAGAUUGGACGAACUCCUCGUACAACCAUCAAGGUAGAUUCGAUUCGAUUGGACUAGAUUAGAUUUAGAUUAUACAUGAUUGUGCUUUAUUAGCGACGUAGACAUUGGCCGGCCAUACGAAAUCCUAGUAAAUUGGUUAGGGCAUCAUCUUGUGGUCUGAUAUGUUUCACUGAUAUGUGCAUAUCAUUGUUAUGCGUAACUUUUGAAGCUUUAUUAUGAUCAGUGUGAACUUACUAGCUGCACUAUCAAUGUGCCAGCAAAUUGUAUAUGAUUUACAUGCGGAAACAUGAGACUACUCAUAACAAUAUAUGGUGUUUAUGAUUAUCCUACAUACAUUAAUGUUUCUAUAUAGCACGGGAGGUCACUUCAUGUGUUGUUUUGUGUUUUAUUAGCUUGUAACACAUCUUAAUGCAAGACAAUCUAUCUAAUUAUCCAUGUUCUAUAGCCAUUAUAGAUUAAUGCUUCUCUUUGACACCCUAUGGUUCUUUUUACCCCCUCCCAGGCUGCAAGUUACCUCAACAUCAAGGGGUUGUUGGACCUGACUUGCCAGACUACCGACACGAUUAGUGGCCAUAAUCUGGAGGAGCUCCGUAGUUUCCUUCAGCAUCAAGAACGACUACUUGCCUGAGGAGGAGACGAUCCACGGGGAGAACCAGUGGGCAUUUCAGUAGAGGAGCAUCUAGGUCGCGUUGAGUGAACGCUUAGUAUUCUCAUGUGAACCUUAGCUGCACUCUUUGUGUUUUAAUUGGUUGUAACUGUACUGGAGUUUAUGAGGUGGCGUUAGUGAACAUAUUCAGCGUUUAUGCUUGAAUAUAUUGGUCAUUGUGUUUACAUGACGCUGGAGUGGGCGGUGUAGUCCACGGGAUGGUAUGAUCCACAAGGAGCCGGCAUGUAUCUCUCUAAGGUGGAUGGUGAAGUCCACAGAGUGGUGUAUUCCACAAGGUUCUAGCAGACCGGGUAGUCCAAGGCAUAUAUAUUUAAGGAGGUUCGUAAAUUCGUCAAGUUAAAAUUGGGGAGAGAUUGUUGCGACCAAUGAAGCCUAUCAAUUUAACUUGUCGUGGUGCGAGAGAAUGAGUCGAUAAAGGAUGAUCUACAACGAGUCAAGAUCGAAUCAGCACAGAAGACAAAAAUCAAAAUUAAGAAGAGAUUGUUAGGAUUAAUCUUGAAUUAGUAAAGUCCUACGUGAUGUGAUGUAGUAGCAGGAGUUGGCAUGCAUGCCUAGUGUCCGAGUAGUAGUAUGGUUUGAGUACGUAGGUGUACUAAUAGUACUUCUGUCCGGCCGUGUAGGUCAUGUCGAGUCAGGUUAGGAUUCUACUCAUCUUGUACGAGCAGGUUUAGGUAUACGUGUCAGGCCGGUGGCUGGGCUGCAUAUAUACAUAUACGUGUGUGUAUACGGCAGUGAGUUGUAACUUGGCGAAAAAGGAGAAAAUAAAAAGAAGAAAAAGGAAGGCACAUGUUCCUUUGGCAAAAAGUUUUUGUGCACGUCUGUUUUGUGAUAUAUUUUUUGACGCCGAUAUCCAUCACACGUGUGGUAUAUUUGACAUGCGCCCACACAUCGUGUGUGGUGUAAGCAGAAGGCAGCCCACAUGGGUUGUGUGUGGGCGGACAUUAGAAUUCCCAUACAUGUGGGCGCGGCUAUUUCGUGCCACACGCCCAACAAGUACUACUCAUCUCCACCCCGCGCGUGUGGCACGAAGCAAAAAUGCCCACACAUCCUGGCGCAGCUACGUUAGGUACCCGCAUGAUGACAAUUUAGUUGCCAUCCUAGUUGGCAGAUGUAGUUAUUCGGGAUGGCAAGUGUAGUUGUAAAAGCAUGGCAACUCUAUCUGUUUUGGUUAACUAUAGUUGCCAUGUCUAAUUUAUGGUAGUUGCCGCGUGUAAUCAAACCGUAGUUGCCGUGUGUGAUUAACUACUUGUCACAUAUGGUCAAACAGUAAUUGCCAUCUGUGUUUACCUAGUUGCCACGUGUGGUCCAACCAUAGUUGCCAUAUAUUGUUAAUCACAGUUGCCAUGUGUGUUUAUCUGGUUGCCAUGUACGCGCAUCUGCAGUUGCCAUCUAGCAAAGAAUCACAGUUGUCAUGUGUGUUUACCUAGUUGCCACGUUCGCGUAACUAUAGUUGCCAUCCACAACGUAGGAGUUUCAUGUGGGUGAAAAGCAGUUCACCCACACGCACAUGAACUAGGUGGUGACUGUGGGCAGAAACUAGUUCGCCCACACAGCACAGCUGGCAAACAGCGUGGUGCGGGCGUGUGGGCAAACUCUCCAACGCCCACACGCCAGCCACGUCCUAUGUGGCAUGCAAAUUAUGCCUCAAUGUGUCAAGAUUCGUGUAAACUGCACUGAAUGAUAAUCCACGCGUGUGGGCGAGUUACAAAACCUACUUCCACACCCAUCUGACACUGAGUCAAAAUUAUCGGCCGCCUCGCUCCAUCAUGGUAUCACUGGCGCAGGCCAACACCACAUUGACAUGCCAAAAGCUCGUGGUGAAGGUCCAUCUCACUACUCCCCCGCCAAUACUGGAGCCAAUAAGAUUUUUUUCUGAACUGGAAUAACGGUUUUUAGGACUUCACUGGCAAACGUUCGCUGGAAGGGAUGUCAUUUGUGAACGUUCGUUUGUCAUUCUCUCCAAGAGAACAUUCGACGGUUAACAUUUCGGUUUUCUUAAUUUUUGACCAUCCAUUUAUUUAACAUCUAGAUCUACGUCUUCGCAGAUCCCAUGAAGAUUGUCCCGAGUACAGCGCAUCUCUCCACCGAUCGAGCAUCGGGCUGCCGCUGUGUCACCCCGUGGUUCUCCGCGCGGCUGCACCGACCCGUGUCACCGCUGCGUCGCCCUUUCGGGCCGUAGUGCCGCGGCCUCCAUCGCCACCCCGAGGCCGUCCGCUCCAUGUUGUCUCCGUGGCUGCACCGACCCUCAAGCAGCCGUUGCGUCACCCUGUCGGGCCGCCGUAGCGAGCGUGUCACGUGAUCCACGCCGCCGCCCAAGGCCGUCCCCGUGGCUGCACCGAUCCGCGCACCGCUGCUGUACCACCCCUUCGGGCAGUAGCGCCGCGGUCCGUGGGCCAUGCCGCCGCCCUGAUGUCUACCCGUUGUCGCCCCGACCCGCUUGCUGUUGCUGCAUCGCCCCUUCGGGCCUUGGCGCCGCGGCCCAUGGUCCACUCUAGCGUCCCCGCGUGUUAACUUUCUGUGGUAUGCGCCGCACUAGUCUUCGUCGUAUUGUCGGGUUUCUCACGUACUUCGAGCAUCGCCGCCGCGCUCCUAACCUAGCCGCAGCAGCCGCCGCUCUUCUUCGGCCGCCGCAGCUGCCGGCAGCCGUCCACCCUUUUCGUCUUUGUCCAGCACCAGGCCUUCGCCAGCGUUGCCAUCAUCUUUCAUGACCACUUUGUCUACUCCGACCACCAUUAGUGACAUCGGCCCCACGCCGAUUGGCACCACAACCGUCAUCGAGUCUUCUUCUUUGUUGUCCCUCUGGCUCCUCGACAUGGCGUAUAGCUCGUGCAGGUCCCUCGUCUACGCAUGACCGGUGCAGGCAACACCAAUGCAUGCCUUCAUCCACGACGUGUCCUCGGGUCUGGCAAGCCUGUUCGGUGCUUCAUCGACUUUGUCUUCGCCCAUCAUGUUACAAUCUCUAGUACAAUACCAGAAGGAUUACUUAACUAGGAAAAAAUUAAAAAUUAAAGAGAGGGAGAGAGAGUAGGAGCUUCCCUAAUAAAACCCGUGCCGUCAUCAGGCCAUACUUGUCACUAAAGCUUCAGGGUAUCAUCAACUAACAGAGCCUUCAGAAUCAUUUAUAUUACAGCAAAGCCAUAGCCGCCACGGUUCGUCUCGUCUCCUGGAAGAAGGGAAAAAACAUCAUCUACAUCCAGUUUCAGCAUAUCUUCUCCUGAAAGAAAGAAAGCACCAUCCACAAUCAGUAAAUAAGUAUGAUACUAUUGCCCGGCUACUUCUUGCUUGAGGAAAACUCCCUAUCUUCUCACUUGGUAAGUGACUUCAUCAAUUGAUAUGUUUCCUUCGCCUGCAUUGAAAUAAUCUUGUUUCUAUAAUUAUCACAAGCACCAGAAAAGGGAAACAACUGAUCUUCAAAUCACAUAUCUUCACCAGUAUGGCAUGGACCACCCCCUUUGCCUUACUGCAAGCUCACACCUGAGAUAUGAUUUCAUCCAGCUUCUAUAACUUCAAGUCAGGAACAAAUAAAUGUCGCACUAUCCUCACACAGCUUGGUUAUAAACUGAGGUACAUAACAUGUCUACUGUUCCUACAUUUGAAAUUCCACAAAAUUCUAUGCUACAUGGCUUUUCUAUUUCCUUCUCUGACUUUCCAGCUAGAAAUUUUCAGAAGGAUGAUACAGAAGACCACUUUCCUAUGUUAAUAAAAUAUGCUGAGGGACAAAGAUGCCCUCAUUAUGUAUAAAGAUAGUGCUAAUAUGGAACAAAAUUAGCUAAAAGAUAUGGCAGAAGUAAACUUGAUAAUGUCAUAACCUUUUCAAGGUUACCAUAACAUAUGUUCCCUUAUUGUAUGAAAUGCACUCUGCUUUUCAUCAUCAUAACGUACAAGCAUCGAUUUGCUUCUCCCGUACAAAUACAAGGGCACCUAAAAUAUCUACAUAGUGGUAUACAUGUUUAACACGGUGUGGCCAACUGGCCAACAAAAAACCCAAAACUGUUUCCCGGGGAAAAAGAAGUCCACGAUUUUCAUCUAAAGUUAAGUCUCAAAUCAUCUUCAUGGCCGAAAUGGGAACAUGUGUUCAUGGAAAGAUAGGUUGAAGAUUGCACUGAAAUUGCAAUGGCCAUUUCACAACAUAAAGAUACAGAGUGCGCAGAAAUACUACUAACUGAUACUUCAAAGGGCUUGUAGGAUGCCCUGAUCUCUCACUCUUAGUUACAAUAUGACGUGAUGAAGGACAAGUUGAUAGCAGUGCUAUGCUUUCUUCUCUAAUGAAUGACAAAAUGAAACAUACCAAUUUUCAUUCCGGUCAUGUUUCAUGUAAAUCUGAAUCUAGCCAGCACUUCCCCUCUGCAAGCUGCUGCAUAGUCUUCAGCAAGGUGCGGUGCAGCUUCCUUGUGUGGGAAUAUGAACUUCUCCAUGAAUACCUUCGGAGUCGCCGCGACUGCAUAAUAGUAAUCCCGGUCGCGAUGUAGCAAUCCAUUUUCCUUGAGAAACUUCACAACAUAGUACCGGGGCCUGAGCCGAUCAUCCAGGCUGCAAGUGAGAAGCGCCGGCCGAUGAGCAAUGUACCCUGGUUCCAACCCCACCUCGGAGAUGAGGAACUCUGCGACACGUUGCAGCCUUUCCUUGCAAGACCUCAGCACCACCGGAGCCUUGGGCAAAGCAAUGCCCACCUCAGUAUCCGACCACCUAAAUGUCUUCUUCAGGUAUUCCACCUUGGCGGCGAUCUUCUCCUCGUCAAAGAAUGCGACAGCCUGCAACGCUUGUCCCAACAUCCCGGAGCCAUGCGGCACACAGAGAGCUUUGGCACAUGCCACCAUCGCCCGGAGGCGCUGCUGGUUGAUUGUGAGGAUCAUUGGCACACGGAUGCACAGCUUGGCAAUGUGGCAAUCAUGUAGCCCGCACUCCUGGAGGAACGCGACGUUGGGCUUGACCACCCUCUCGAGGUCAGAACCUUGUAGCCAGAAGCCGCGUUUGAGCAACCGAAGCAAGUCGUCCAUGGACCCGAAGAGAUUCAGGUAGUAGUGUAUAGCGGAGACGAUGGAUCUGCAGCGGAAUUUGCCGGGGACGAGCACGGCGAUGCGCGCGACCUCAGAGCGCGAGAGGCCGAGGCCGGUGAGCCCGUCGACGACGGGGGCCAGGGUUCUCUCCACGCCGGCGCAGAGUAACAGCGGGUCCUUGGCGACGGCGGUGGCGACGUCGGCGGCGGAGAGGCCGAUGCCGGCGAGGAAGGCGAGGACGGCGUCGGGCUUGGCGGGGGACUUGAGGUGGGACAGCUUGGCGGAGACCUUGAGUGCCUGGGCAUGGGUCAGGCCGCAGGAGGAGACGAGGUACUCCUCUGCGGCGAAGCCAGGGGCCGGGGAAACGGCGGAGGCGGCUGCGGCGGAGAGGAGGCGGUGGAGAGGAGAGACAUGGGAGGCGUAGGGAGAAGAGAGGAGCUGGGUGAGGAUGCAGCUUCGUAGCCGGAGCAUGGCGGCGGGGAGGCGCCGGCGGCGAGGGGAUGGCCAGUGGCGGCGCGGCGUGGUUGGUGGUGAGAGACGGAGAGGGUGUGGUGAGGGUUUGGGGCUGGACCGCUGGACUCGUGCGUCGUGAGUCUGAUAAUGGGCUAGGAUGGGCUGGGCUGGGCUGGGCUUGAGCUAGACUAGGAAUUCAACGCACUGUAAUCUCAAAAACAAUAGUCAAGGCAGACCCUUUUGGAAAACAUGAGCCAACUUAAGAAAAAAAAAACUAACAUGAGCACCCGUAUCCGGACAAAUUCAUCGAGUGGAGUAAUGUCAAUCAUUUUGUCCUGAGUAACGCAAAAUUACCACGAAAAGAUGGUGGUACUUGAUUACUUGCUAUUAUGUGCUCGCCUUACAUUUCCCUGUGCGGCCAUUUUGAAGCAUCAAUCUUCCAUAUGUCAGAUCCCCUGUCAUGUUUUUAGAUCGCAUAUUCUGGCAAUUUUAAGUGGACUGUGAAUUUUCCGAAAGAACGGCGUACGGUACUUUCACCGCCUUGUGUCAUCUUAUAGGUUUUUUUUUUGAAAGAUCCAGCAAUUGUUGGCCUUGUCGAUAUCAUUAGUAGCAAGCAGCGAGAAUACAAAAGGUGGACGGUGAGAUCCUAAGAUCGGUUCAGAGGAACACCAAAAGACUAAAAAGAAGAGAAACAGAAAAUGAUGGCCGGCCGAUCAACUCGCCUGGCCAAAGGAACUAUAGCUAACUCUUCACGGCGGAUCCUAGAAGGGUCUCUCUGAGAUGGCGUUUAGGAUAUCUGGAUAGGAUGAGUGGAUGACCGCUUACCUCUAAAAGUACAACAGUUCCUUUCUUGCAAAUUUCCCAACGCGUCAGUAGCAGCAAGGUCUUUAUACCUUUAAUUUGCGUUGGCAUUGUGUCAUUGACUUGACUUGAGGUCUUAUAUGCUUAUAACAUAGCAUUAGGCUUUUAAAUAAUUUAGGUGCAUGUAGCUAAAAAAGCAGUGGACAUGAUCUGCAUUGGAUAUCCAGAAUGCCACAUAAAGAAUGGAUGGGUUUAGUGAUCAGAUCAUGAUAUCCUACUCAGUGACACUUGUAUAUAAUAUGAAACACAGCAAAAGUUACCGAGAUCAUGAUCCUAAUGAGUGAAACUUACAUAUAUAAAUUAACGCUACUGAGAUGAUGGUCCUAAUGAGUGACACUUACAUACAUAUAAAACUGAACACAACAAAAGCUAGUCAUAACACAACUGAAUUUACACUAGAGGGCCAAUUAAGCUGGCCCCAUGCAUGGUGACGGCUCUUCAAAUUGAGCACCCCGUGGCUGACCCCAGGUAGGAAAUGGGGCCAGUUAAGUAGCAGAUUAGCCAGCCCUUCCGUUUCCUGAAGUGGUUUCGACUUUGGAAGGAAAUAAGCAACAACAUCCCGGCUUGAGGUCGAGUAGGGAGCGUGCAUGCCCGUGCAGGAGCGUCAAGCAAGCAAAUAUCCUAUAUUUGAUUUGCAAAAUGUAUUAUAUUAAGGUACAGAGGUGGUACUUUGGAAGUUUAGAUAUGCAUAUACUAUGUAGUACUCCGAGGGGCCACGUGGCCAUGCCACGCGGGUGGCCCCUUGGUCGCACCACUAGGCCGCGUGGGGCCCUUGGGUGGCCCCACGGCAGCUCCCGACACCUUCUGGAAUCCUCAUGGAAAAAAUCAUAUUAAAUCCCCAGGUUUUUUUUUACCUCUGUAGAUUAAAUAUUGUCUCAUGCGAUGUGGUCGAGAAACAAGCUAAAAUUAGCACCAACAGUGACGUUCACUAGCUAAGUUUAGAAAAGCUACUACCUAGCUAAUCAUUCGCGACCAUUCGUUGGUGACUCUCACAUACGGCUAACCGGUUCUUGUGGCAUGUGUCACCUAUGCACGCUCGCACAUACUUACAUAUCAAUGGAAUAGCUAGUUGCCUCCAAGAAAGCAAUCUUACAUUCACCUAGGCCCGAACAGUUCGACCAACUACAAUCUUCUUCCUCAUCGUGAGGCUUCUUAGUGUGGUCAAUGACUAGGAGAACCUGAAAGUGACUAAGAAGGAGCAUGUGGAGGGAACUGAGGCAGGUUUCACAAUUGGGAGUCCGUGCAAAGUUCAAUGCCAUCACCAAGGGCUAUGACCUUGAGAUGAUCAUCGUUCUUAUUAUCCAUGAUCGCCAACCGUGACAUGGAAUAAACUGCCCAAUAGACGCAUACUACAUGCUCAAUAGCGGCUUAUUUGGUGGCACGGUCGGUGGUGACAAACAGAACCGUGAUGAUAUUCUCAAGGUUAUUGCCCUUGAAGAUCGCAUCUCGACUUUCUUUUUGGGCCCGCUGUGACACUUGUCACAAUUCCACUGGACGUGCUUCUUCUUGGUCGCGGCCAGGAAAGAUGCACAUAUCGGCGAGCAUGGCAACAUAGUUUGAACACUUGUUGUUUGUGGUGCUCAAAAUCUCAACGACGGCGCCAUUAACCCUUCUUUGCAUGUGGUGACGCAUACCUCCUUUUUGAUGAAUAAUGCCCGCAUGUCUAGUUUACUCUUAAUAAUUAUUUAUACUAACAUGAUUUCCAUUGUUCUUUUCUGGGUUAAUCUAAGUUAAAAAUUGUUAUUUGUUUCAACACAAUGCGGUUUUGGGCAGGACAAGGAGGGUCAGAUGGUGCUUCCACGUCGGGAGAGGAAACUACGACCGGCCAUUUUGUGGAAGAUUUGAGCGAGGCUACUGGGCAAAAAUUAGAGUACAAUGAUCCAUGUAAAUACAUUGAUUUUGAAGAAAAAAAUGAGAUUGUCCUCAUAUGCUUAUAUAUUGGCAGCGGCUUUAACAAUUUAGAUAGAAGAAUAAUCAAUCUUAUUUACAUACUAGGUAGUGUGCAUGAAGGAAUAAACAGACCCUCAACCGAAGCCGCGUAAACCUCACAUCCUUCCUGGGGCAAAACAUCGGUAUAUGUCCAAUGUACUCUAGGAAACAAGUGUACGUACGUACAUACAACCUACAGAGUAUAAUUCAUGCAAUCACGUACGCAUGCACGUACAUACGGUUCUCUAAUGAACAAAUACGAUCGACAGACACAUAUAAACAUUGGGUACAUGCACAGAUUGAUGCGUCGACGCGGUGGUAUUUACGUAGCUUAGGCAGCUGCAUGCAUGCUACGUACUAGAGGAGGAGACAUGAUGUUGUUUCAUCAGAAGGAGAUGAAGGAAUUGGCCAUGUCGUACUUCAUCUUCUCCAGGUUGGGCGAGAUGGCGAACUUGAUCAUGGGCGGCGGCCCGCAGGCGAGCGCGAGGGUUUCGUCGCCGCCCUCGGGGACGUGCGCCCGCAGGAUGUCCUCCGUCACGAACCCGACGCUGAACCUCCACCCGUCCUCGGGCCGCUUCACCUGGUCGAUCACGUACCACACCUUGAGCCUCUCCGGGUACUCCGCCGCCCACCGGUCCAGCUCGUCGCGCAGCAGGAUGUCGUCCUCGCUCCGGUUCGCGUACACGAGGUGCAUCUCCGUCUCGUCCUCCGGCUGGUCCCGCAGCACGGCCUGGAUCACCUGGUACAUGGGCGUGAUCCCGCUGCCGCCGCAGAUCAUGGCCAGCCGCCGCGCCCGCCGCUGCUUGCCGUUGAUGACGAAGUUGCCGCGGCCGGUGUACUCCACGUGGCCCAGCGGGCCCUUGACGUCGAUGCAGGAGCCGAGCUGGAGCGACUCCAGGUACUGCGUCAUGAGCCCGCCGUUGGGGAACUUGGGGUGCUCGUCCCGGAAGUAGACCUUGACGAGCAGCUCGAACUGCCCGAUCUCGUCCACCAUGCUGGUGGGCGUGUAGGCGCGCAUGCAGAGCUUGCCGUCGAUGGUGGCGCACACGAAGAUGUGCUUGCCGACGGGCAGGCCGAGCACCUGGUCGGAGGACGGCAGCGCGAAGCGGAAGAGGCGGACGUCGUGGGAGAGCUCCUUCUUGUCGACCAGGCGGCAGGGGACCUUCUCGCGCGGGCUGGACAGCGCGAUGGGCGCGCCAGCGACCUUGGUGGCCUCGCGGAUCGGGGCGAGGUGGGAGAGGCUCGACCCGCCGUGCACCGAGUUGUCGGAGUUGUAGCCGGUGCCCGUGGUGAUGAGCUCGCCGAUGCGGUACGUGUCGAGGAGCGCCUUGGCCUUGUCGGAGUGGAUGGCGUCGAACUCCUCGGUGCAGUCGGAUCCGGCAUUAAUAAGGAUGCUGUCGGCGCCGCCGGGGUGGUCCUUGAGGAAGGCGGUGCAGUCGUAGACGUGGCCGUGCACCACGAUCCACGCCGACUCCUUGGACCCGUGCUUGCGCACCUCGGACAUGGUGAACUGCUUGUCCGCGACGGUGUUCAUGAACGGGGUAGACGUGCUGCGCUUGAGCCCCGGCGCGGCCGCCUCGGCCGUCUCGAGGUGCUUCUGCCGCGCCAUCCAGCCGCCGGUCUGGUUCCCCGGCUGCGUGGGGUGCUCGAAGACCAGCCCGAUCUCGCCCUUGUGGGGGCGGCACACGUUCACCUUCACCUUGAACCAGCAGUUGUUCAUCAUGCCCAUGAGGUUCCAGAUGAGCUUCUCCGGCUGGGUGUUGUGCGUCUGGUCCCAUGCGCGCACCGACACCUCCUUGGCGCCCAGGAGGUCUAGGACCUCGAUCUCCACUGACCAGAAGCACCAGCACCAGUACCGCCCGUACUUGUUCGGCUUCUCCGGGAUGUCGAGCGUGCACAACAUCCAGCUCUCGCCGCCAUCCAGAGUCACCUCCACUCGUGUGAUCUUCUUGCCACCACCUAGAAAACGCAACGAUAAGAAAUUAGUGAUCAUGAGUUGGUGACUAGAUGAUACCCCAUGUGUUGCCGUAGAGUUGCAUAUAUAGUUUCUAAAUAUGUGCAGAAUACUAAUUCGGCCCUUACAAUUUAAAUCAUGUGAGAAUUUUUUUGCAUAAGCCAAAAAAAGUCUUAAUAUAAAAAGUUGUGCAUGUCACAUUUAAAUGCAAUGUGAUUUAAAACGCACAUAUAAUGCAUUAAUGCAUGUUGCAUGGUAGAGAAUUCUCAUGCGUAGCUCGGACCCCUUGUAUUUUGUCAAACUUUAAAUAAAAUGUAAGUUUUACGUGGUAAAAAAUAAUAUCAUUCGAAACCUCUUUCUAAUAAUAAUCAGGUGAUAUGAAUUUGAUGAUAUUUAAUUUAAAAUUUACUAUUUAAAUAUAUGGUUAAAAUUUGGGCACACAAAAAACAAAAGGAACUUGUAAACCCAGAUGGAGGUAGUAGUACAUAGGAUAUAGAGUCACCCCUUUGCUAAUUAAGUUACAAUAAUUAGAGAUGCUCCCUCCUUUGAUUAAAAGAAGGUUUUGACAAAAGUCAAAUUGUACAAUGUUUGACCACUUAAGAAACUAUCAACAAAUAAAACACUAAACCGCCAUAAAGUCAUAUAUUUAGGAACGGAGGUAGUACUAUCAUUAAAUAGAUGAUAAAAAUACAUUUUCAUAUUAUACGUAUCUAUUUGAGUUACUGGUACUUUUCCUGUAAAUUUGAUCAAGCUUUGUGUUGUUUGACUUCGUAUAAAAUGUACAUGUCUUCUCAGUUCUCACGGAGCACAGAGGGGGCACUUAACAAAGCAACGUUUCUUUUCUCUUUUAAGCAGGAAGUUUGUGUCGGCAAGCAAGCUAGCAGCCCAGCUCGACACGCUUCCCGAGGCCCAAGUUGGAAUAUUCAGCAGAAAGUAUCCACGUUGCUGCUAGAUUCCGAUUCCCCUUGUUGAUGAUUGGCCGGCGAGCUAGUGCCCGUUCCAAAACGGGACGAAUCAUGCGUGCAUGCUUUGUUCAGUUGCCUACUUGCUUUUGACCUCUCCACUAGUAAUUUGUCCAGUGAGACUUGGCAACAUGGCAUUCAUCGAUGCUUUUGCUUUGGUUGAUGGUCUACGGAUGGUGGUUAGUUGUUUAGCUUUUCCGACUUAGUCCUUCUCUUGUGCCUUUUGCCUUUUUUGUUUGCGCCUUUCUUGUCCCUCUCUGAUGACUAUACCCUGUUUGAAUCUUGGCUACAUCAGCUUUAUUAAUACGCUAUUGCUAAACCCCAGUCGACUGAGUGAUACUACAUUUUGUUGGUUCACUGUUUGUGCGCACAUGUGAACCCAACCACAAGGCACUAUGAUUUAUAAUCCCUUUGUAUCAAAAUAUAAGGUUAGUUUAGUCUAAAAAACGUUUUAUAUUUUCGUAUAGAUGUAGUAGUUUCUUUCAGGGGACUAUAGGUUAUAGCUGUAAUCGGUAGGCUAGUAGAGUUACUAUUGAACUGGUGCUAGACUAGAUAGGAGAAAAAUCUGGCUGCUGGCUGCGGUUGGCCACACGAUCGAAUUGUGCCUCCAAUUAUAUGGCUCGCUUGAUUUGUCCUUGCUCUAUACCCAAGCCGGCCGGCACUCCACCAGGUACGACCUGGCAAAACCUUGCCGCGGGGCCCACACGUCAGACGACUAUUCCAAGAGCUAGCAACGUUUUGUAUUAUUGGUGUACAGUAUAUAAUAAGUAGUUAGUCCAUGGCAUGCAUCCAGCGGCUACAAGCAGCUUAGCUUUUGGACGCCACCAAGUGCCAACGACCCCAGAGCCACAAGAAAAGCGCACGCAUUUUUUGUCAAAAAAGAAAAGAAAAGUGCAUGCAAUUGCCAAAAGAAAAAAGAAAAAAAAGUGCAUGCAUGGAUAUUGUAUGAUUUCCUUGGCAGAGAAAGUGCACCACGGUUGCAUGAACCGCAAGGGAAACUACUUAAGUACACACGGUAUCUCUCUUCUCUUCUUGCACCCGGUUUUGGAGCUAGCCUACUGCCACGAGACACCUAAUGGCAUGUACAAUGAUGCUAUCUUAGAAUAAAUGAUGCUGUCUUAGCAUAAUAUGUCUCGCCAUGUUUUUAAGAAUAGCUAGUUAUUAAAGAUAAGACUAAGAGAUGACCCAUUAUAGACAUAUUUUUUGUCAUAUCUAAAUUAGAUGCAAAACUUACGAUAAAACUAUCUUAUCAAUCGUUGUACAUGCCCUAAGCUAGCUCGGCUCAUCAUCCUGUGGUCAAUGCUACGGAAGUAGUGGUGGUAAGGGUAAAAUAACAAUGAGUGGCUGCCACCACCCUCAGCUGUUAGUGGUAGUAGAAAACAAGGGACUGUCGCACUCAACCUGCCAUUUUCAGAUGCUAACUGCCAUUUUCAAAUGCUAGCUAGUACAUGCCAAUGUCAAUCAAGUAAGAAAAUGCAUUCUGUGCUUGGUCAGAUCAGAUGUCCUGGUGCUGAGCUUUACACUACUCUCAUUAAGUUCAUUUUCUUCCUACGUGAGCAUAAAACAUGGUAUAUAUAUAUAUAUGCUCCUUACGGUCAAUUGCUAGCGUACGGAAGCAUAGUAUAUACUCUCUAAUUGCAUGCGUCAUCCUUGGCGCCAUGUACGUAUAUACCAAGACAAAGAACAAAUCUACCAAGCUUCUAUCUUCGAUCGUCUCACUUUUUCUGAAAAGAACGUAAAGAAAAUAGAUCGUACCGGAGUAUGCGUAUCCUUUCAUGGUGUAGGCGCGCUGGGUGGUGAAGGCGUUGAUGGGGAGGAUCUCGUCGUGCCCCGGCGUGGUGAUCACCGAGUUGGUGUUGAGCUCGUUGAUGAUGUACUCGGGCCGGUACCACCACGCCUCGGAGUUGGCCAGCUCCGCGUCCACGUGCGACGGCAGCACCCGGUUGUCCUUGAAGUGGUAGUAGUUGUCGGACUCGGCGGUGGUGACCACGAUGCGCCGGAGCCACUUCACCAUGCGCCCGCCGAUGCACCCGGGGAUGAGCACGCGGACGGGGUAGCCGUGGUCGGGCAGCAGCGGCUCCCCGUUCUGCGCGUAGGCGAGCAGGAUGUCGCGGGACGGGUCGAGCGCCCACUCCCGGGUCACGCUGGUGCCGUACUUGGAGCCGCCGCCGCCGGGGAGGUCCUCGGCGCCCUCGAAGCACACGUUGAGGGCCUGGCCCUUCUUGGAGGAGGACAUGAUGCCGCACCGGAGCAGCACGUCGCGGAGGCGGGCGCCGCGCCAGACGGAGGUGGACACCCCCGCGGCGCCCCAGUUGAAGCCCACCGUCUGCUGCACCAUGUUCUGCUCCUUGCGGCGGUUGCCGGCACAGACCAGCGUGGCGGGCAGCUCCGCGGCGGCGAACCCGUUGGCCAGCUCGUCCAUGGUGAGCCGCGCGGGGCGGCGGACGAGCCCCGUCACCUCCACCGUCCAGGUGGACCAGUCGCCCCGGGGCACGGCGCCGUGGUUGCGCACGUAGUGGAGCGGCGCGGGCGUGAUGAAGCCGUGGUGCAUGAGGCGGGCCAGCGGCGGCUCGCAGUUGAGCGGGUGCUUGCCGGUGAGCCGGAUCAGGGACGGGUUGCGGUCGAUCCAGGCGUCCGCCGUGCCCUCGUCGCGCGGGUCGCGCGUCGACGGCUCCACCUCCAGCUGCAGCUGCGAGCCGUACGCCUCCCGCCAGUCCUCCUCCGGCUCCUCGUCAUCGUCCUCGUCCUCAUCUUCCUCGACGAGGGCCUUCCGGGGCGGCGAGAUGAGCGGGGGGAACCCGCAGCCGCGCACCGGCGAGUCGGCGCGGCGCCGGAUGCCGUUGGAGGCCCCGUUGCGGGCCGGCGGCGCGGUGGCCGGCGCGUCGAGGCGGCCGAACGACUGCCGUGGCUCGACAGAGGCGGCCAUGCUGUGUUUGUGUUUGUGUCGUGGGACAAGUGUUGGAUCGGUUCUGGAUUGGUCGCGGCAGAUGAGAGAAGGAACCGGCAGGUAGUGGCCUGGAGGAGAAGUCGUGCAGAGGCUGGUAUAUAUACACCCACGCAACGCCGACCUCCCGAGUGGACUGACGUGCGCCUCAAAAGGCCGCUAGCAGCCCUAUCCUUAUAGUCGACUGGUCUAAUAUGAGGCGCUCUCUNNNNNNNNNNNNNNNNNNNNNNNNNNNNNNNNNNNNNNNNNNNNNNNNNNNNNNNNNNNNNNNNNNNNNNNNNNNNNNNNNNNNNNNNNNNNNNNNNNNNNNNNNNNNNNNNNNNNNNNNNNNNNNNNNNNNNNNNNNNNNNNNNNNNNNNNNNNNNNNNNNNNNNNNNNNNNNNNNNNNNNNNNNNNNNNNNNNNNNNNNNNNNNNNNNNNNNNNNNNNNNNNNNNNNNNNNNNNNNNNNNNNNNNNNNNNNNNNNNNNNNNNNNNNNNNNNNNNNNNNNNNNNNNNNNNNNNNNNNNNNNNNNNNNNNNNNNNNNNNNNNNNNNNNNNNNNNNNNNNNNNNNNNNNNNNNNNNNNNNNNNNNNNNNNNNNNNNNNNNNNNNNNNNNNNNNNNNNNNNNNNNNNNNNNNNNNNNNNNNNNNNNNNNNNNNNNNNNNNNNNNNNNNNNNNNNNNNNNNNNNNNNNNNNNNNNNNNNNNNNNNNNNNNNNNNNNNNNCAGUGGCGCUCCCUCGUACCGCUUGCUCAUCCUCCCCCCCUUCAUUGGCAAACUCGGGAGCGGCCCCGCAUGCGUCGACCGUGUCAACCAUCGAGCUCGACUUAGAUGACAUGCCGAACGUCGCCAUUAACUCUCGGGAGAUCGAGCAACAAUCCCACCUACCAUGAGUAGCUCGAACAUGAGGCAUAACUGGAGGAGGAGCAUGAGGACACCCGUGCAAUGUUAGCCUACGCCUCAUAAGAGUGAAGUGCACCAUAGGUCCCUAAACUAUUUCAAGGGACUCACUUAGGUUCUUUACUUUUGGAAGUCAGCAUGUAGCUCCAGAAAGUGCAAUAAGUGUGUCAUCCAGGUUGAAACCAGCGCUAACCCUGUAUUGACUGCACAUGUGCCACCGUUGAUCAAGGCCAUGUCGGAAGAGGCUGUUUGGCGGCAAACUUCCCGCUGAGACCGGUUGGGAUCUAUGCAAAAGGACACAAAUGUAUAUAUGGAGUCCGGCGACGUGUGGUAAGCAUCGGCUUCCUUGUCGACGACAGUGGUGGCCAUCAGUGGCGGAGCUACACCAGAAUUCCGAGGGGGACACAAAAUGGGAGCAUUUGAGGAGCCAAAAUACCAAUUUUCCUUUCAUCUAGGCCCUUUACUCAAUAUUUUCUUCAAAGAAAUGUCCAGAGUUGGGGGGAAGGGGAGGCACUGUCUUGCGUUGGAUCAGGAUCAAGAGUAACAACCUCAUCGACUCGAGCAAGGUAGUGUGUAGUAGACCAAGGCUUUGGUCUCAUCGGGCUCGAUUAUUAUCAUGGUGUCGUUGAUGGUGUUCUUUCCUCUGCACGACACUGUAGGGGGGAAUUUCUUCCAGAUCCAUGAUGUUGGGGUUCUGGGUGAGGUUGUAUAAUAGAGCUUCCUACUCUUGAUCAUAUUCGAUGAAUCUGUGAAGCACUUUGUUCGCCAAUUCGAGCUUUCUCUCCAAACCGACAUUUAACUAUUGUAUCGCUUCCUAGGAACACAUCAGUAUGGUGUGCUAGAACAAUGCCACCUCUAUGAUGGCAUCCAUGGUGACAAUGUUGUCCUCCUUGAUGUCAGUGAGUACCUCGAUGCUGCUAGAAGGUGCCACAACAUUGCAACCACGAACCGCUUAUGUCUCGCAUCAGCCGCCACCAUUGACCUACCAAUUUUGGCGGUACAUCAACUUACUGAAGAAGAAGCCGCCAGAAAGGUCCCUAAAUUUGUAAAGAGGGUGUUUCUUUUGCAUAUUUUCAGGACCGGUAGGGGUUUGGACUUGGUGACAUGCUUAUACGUUUUCAUGACUUGAAAGAUGAUUUCCAAAAUUCGAAGACUUACAUGACAUCCUUGGAGUAUUCUAGGGCUGCAGAAUGCACUCCUCAGUGUGGUUGUUGGUGGCCGUUGAUUUGCGCGACAUGACAGGGAAAAAUUUGUUCCUGGAUCCUGGACAUGACGUCGGGUUUCUGGGCGAGGUUGUAGACCAUGGAUUUAUACUCUCAAUCAUCUCCAUGAUGAAUCUUUGAAGCACUUUGUGUGCCAAGGCGGGCUUUCUCUGCAAGCCAAUAUUUAGCUGGUCCAUCGCUUCCCAAAACCACAAUGACAAGGCGUGCCUGAACAACGCCACCUCUAUGAUGGUAUCGACGGCGAUGUUCACGUGUAUGCUUGGGCGGAGACGGCAUGUCAGCAAGGCGCAUCACCCCCAUGCCGACGAUGUUGUCCUGCUUUAAUGCCGAUGAGUACCUCGACGCUGCUAGAACGCCUCCUGACACCACGAACAUGGACCUCUCUUGUCGUGCUCGACCACAUUGUCCCAGCAUUCACCACCAUUGACAUACCACCGUCGGUACAUCAACUUACCGAUGAAGAUGACACCAUAGAUGUACCUAAGGAUAUAGGGCAGGUUGUGUGUGUGUGUGUGUGUGUGUGUGUGUGUGUUCUGUAAAGUAAGGUUUGAACCUAGAUGACCCACUUGUUACAUUUUGAGUACCUUAAUGCCAAUUUUCAUAAUUUGAGAACCUACAUGAUAUCCUCGGGAUAUUAUAGGGACCUUUUGGUGCGCUUUAGAGCAUCUCCCGCCAUUGGCCCCCCAGGAGGCACAAAAAUCGGAGCCUGGGGGCGAGCCGGCGGCAUAAUCGGCUGUGGGGGCGGUUGGGUACCCAGCCGUCACCCCCAGGCCCCGAUAUUGGCCCAUUUUCGGCGGAAAUGUGCCCGCUUUUGACCCACUUUCGGCGAAAAAUGGCCCGAUAUCGGCGCGAAUCAGCCCAUAUUCGCUGUGGUUCCGCGUGAAUUCAACAUACGUAUUUUUUUAUCACAUAGUUCAUCACAGAAAAUCAAUAGAAAUCGAAUAGUUCAAUACAAAUUAUAUAGUUCAACAAAUAAAAACUCAUAUUUCAUCACACGUCGAGCUAGGCGUUGCCCUUGAGCCUCCAUAGGUGCUCCACCAGAUCCUGCUGCAGUUGUUGAUGCACCUGUGGGUCUCGGAUCUCCUGACGCAUAUCGAGGAAGGUAGUCCAGGUUGCCGGUAGCUGAUGAUCAACUUGUGCAAGAGGACCCUGCCUGUAAUAGGUUCAGUGUCAAACACUGGCUCUUCCUGCUCGCUCUCAAUGAUCAUGUUGUGUAAAAUGACACAGCAAUUCAUGAUCUCCCACAUUUGAUCUUUCGACCAUGUCUGAGCAGGGUACCGGACAACAGCAAAUCGAGAUUGGAGCACACCAAAGGCCCGCUCGACAUCCUUCCUGCAAGCGUCCUAAACCUUCGCAAAGUGGGACUUCUUCCCUCUUGGCACAUCGUUUGAGAUAGUCUUCACAAAUGUAGACCAUCUCAGAUAGAUGCCAUCAGCUAGGUAGUACCCCUUGUUGUAGUGCCGCCCAUUAACCUCGAAGUACACCGGAGGAGAAUGACCUUCAACAAGCUUGGCAAAGACAGGGGAGCACUGUUGGAAAUAUGCCCUAGAGGCAAUAAUAAAUUGGUUAUUAUUAUAUUUCCUUGUUCAUGAUAAUCGUUUAUUAUCCAUGCUAAAAUUGUAUUGAUAGGAAACUCAGAUACAUGUGUGGAUACAUAGACAACACCAUGUCCCUAGUAAGCCUCUAGUUGACUAGCUCGUUGAUCAAUAGAUGGUUACGGUUUCCUGACCAUGGACAUUGGAUGUCGUUGAUAACGGGAUCACAUCAUUAGGAGAAUGAUGUGAUGGACAAGACCCAAUCCUAAGCCUAGCACAAGAUCGUGUAGUUCGUUUGCUAAGAGCUUUUCUAAUGUCAAGUAUCAUUUCCUUAGACCAUGAGAUUGUGCAACUCCCGGAUACCGUAGGAAUGCUUUGGGUGUACCAAACGUCACAACGUAACUGGGUGGCUAUAAAGGUGCACUACAGGUAUCUCCGAAAGUGUCUGUUGGGUUGGCACGAAUCGAGACUGGGAUUUGUCACUCCGUGUAAACGGAGAGGUAUCUCUGGGCCCACUCGGUAGGACAUCAUCAUAGUGUGCACAAUGUGACCAAGGAGUUGAUCACGGGAUGAUGUGUUGCGGAACGAGUAAAGAGACUUGCCGGUAACGAGAUUGAACAAGGUAUCGGGAUACCGACGAUCGAAUCUCGGGCAAGUAACAUACCGAUUAACAAAAGGGAAUUGUAUACGGGAUUGAUUGAAUCCCCGACAUCGUGGUUCAUCCGAUGAGAUCAUCGUGGAACAUGUGGGAGCCAACAUGGGUAUCCAGAUCCCGCUGUUGGUUAUUGGCCGGAGAACGUCUCGGUCAUGUCUGCAUGGUUCCCGAACCCGUAGGGUCUACACACUUAAGGUUCGCUGACGCUAGGGUUAUAGGGAAUAGAUAUACGUGGUUACCGAAUGUUGUUCGGAGUCCCGGAUGAGAUCCCGGACGUCACGAGGAGUUCCAGAAUGGUCCGGAGGUAUAGAUUUAUAUAUGGGAAGUCCUGUUUUGGUCACCGGAAAAGUUUCGGGUGCUAUCGGUAAUGUACCGGGACCACCGGGAGGGUCCCGGGGGUCCACCAGGUGGGGCCACCGGCCCCAGAGGGCUGCGUGGGCCAAGUGUGGGAAGGGACCAGCCCCUAGGUGGGCUGGUGCGCCUCCCACAAGGGGCCCAAGGCGCAGGGAAGGGGGGAAGGGGGAAACCCUAGGCUCAGAUGGGCCUAAGACCCACCUAGUGGUGCGCCCCCCUCUCUCCCCCCUGGCCGCCCCUCCAAGUCCCAUCUAGGGCUGGCCGCACCCCUUUGGGGGAACCCUAGAUGGGGGCGCAGCCCCUUCCCCUCCCCUAUAUAUAGUGGGGGUUUUGGGGCUGCCAUAGACAUGAGACUUCCUCUCUCUUUGGCGCAGCCCUACCCCUCUCCCUCCUCGUCUCUCGCAGUGCUUGGCGAAGCCCUGCUGGAGUGCCACGCUCCUCCAUCACCACCAUGCCGUUGUGCUGCUGCUGGACGGAGUCUUCCCCAACCUCUCCCUCUCUCCUUGCUGGAUCAAGGCGUGGGAGACGUCACCGGGCUGCACGUGUGUUGAACGCGGAGGCACCGUUCUUCGGUGCUUAGAUCGGAAUCAACCGCGAUCUGAAUCGCUACGAGUACGACUCCUUCAUCCGCGUUCUUGCAAUGCUUCCGAUUAGCGAUCUACAAUGGUAUGUAGAUGCACUCCCCUUCCCCUCGUUGCUAGAUUACUCCAUAGAUUGGUCUUGGUGAUGCGUAGAAAAUUUUGAAUUUCUGCUACGUUCCCCAACAGUGGCAUCAUGAGCUAGGUCUAUGCGUAGUUUCUAUGCACGAGUAGAACACAAAGUAGUUGUGGGCGUCGAUUUUGUCAAUUUACUUGCCGUUACUAGUCUUAUCUUGAUUCGGCGGCAUCGUGGGAUGAAGCGGCCCGGACCGACCUUACACGUACACUUACGUGAGACAGGUUCCACCGACUGACAUGCACUAGUUGCAUAAGGUGGCUAGCGGGGUGUCUCUCUCUCCCACUUUAGUCGGAUCGGAUUCGAUGAAAAGGGUCCUUAUGAAGGGUAAAUAGAAAUUGGCAUAUCACGUUGUGGCUUUUGCGUAGGUAAGAAACGUUCUUGCUAGAAUCCCAUAGCAGCCACGUAAAACAUGCAACAACAAUUAGAGGACGUCUAACUUGUUUUUGUAGGGUAUGCUAUGUGAUGUGAUAUGGCCAAAAGGAUGUGAUGAAUGAUAUAUGUGAUGUAUGAGAUUGAUCAUGUUCUUGUAAUAGGAAUCACGACUUGCAUGUCGAUGAGUAUGACAACCGACAGGAGCCAUAGGAGUUGUCUUAAUUUAUUGUAUGACCUGCGUGUCAAAUGAAAACGCCAUGUAAUUACUUUACUUUAUUGCUAACCGUUAGCCAUAGUAGUAGAAGUAAUAGUUGGCGAGACAACUUCAUGAAGACACGAUGAUGGAGAUCAUGAUGAUGGAGAUCAUGGUGUCAUGCCGGUGACGAAGGUGAUCAUGCCGCGCCUCGAAGAUGGAGAUCAAAGGCGCAAGAUGAUAUUGGCCAUAUCACGUCACUUUAUGAUUUGCAUGUGAUGUUUGUCAUGUUUACAUCUUAUUUGCUUAGAACGACGGUAGCAUGAAUAAGAUGAUCCCUCACUAAAAUUUCAAGAGACGUGUUCCCCCUAACUGUGCACCGUUGCGAAGGUUCGUUGUUUCGAAGCACCACGUGAUGAUCGGGUGUGAUAGAUUCUAACGUUCGAAUACGACGGGUGUUGACGAGCCUAGCAUGUACAGACAUGGCCUCGGAACACAUGCGAAACACUUAGGUUGACUUGACGAGCCUAGCAUGUACAGACAUGGCCUCGGAACACAAGAGAUCGAAAGGUCGAACAUGAGUCGUAUACUAGAUGCGAUCAACAUGGAGAUGUUCACCGAUGAUGACUAGUCCGUCUCACGUGAUGAUCGGACACGACCUAGUUUGACUCGGAUCAUGUAUCACUUAGAUGACUAGAGGGAUGUCUAUCUGAGUGGGAGUUCAUUAAAUAAUCAGAUUAACUUAAUUAUCAUGAACAUAGUCAAAAGGUCUUUGCAAAUUAUGUGAUAGCUUACGCUUUAGUUCUACUAUUUAAGAUAUGUUCCUAGAGAAAAUUUAGUUGAAAGUUGAUAGUAGCAAUUAUGCGGACUGGGUCCAUAAACUGAGGAUUGUCCUCAUUGCUGCACAGAAGGCUUAUGUCCUUAAUGCACCGCUCGGUGUGCUGAACCUCAGCAUCGUCUGUAGAUGUUGCGAAACAUCUGACAUACACGUUUUGAUGACUACGUGAUAGUUCAGUGCGUAAUGCUAAUGGUUUAGAAUUGUGGCACCAAAGACGUUUUUGAAACGUCGCAGAACAUAUGAGAUGUUCCGAAGACUGAAAUUGGGAUUUCAGACUAGUGCCCACAUCAAGAGGUAUGAGACCUCUGACAAGUUUCUUAAGCCUGCAAACUAAGGGAGAAAAGCUCAAUCGUUGAGCAUGUGCUCAGAUUGUCUGAGUACCACAAUCGCUUGAAUCGAGUGGGAGUUAAUCUUCCAGAUGAGACAGUGAUGGUUCUCCAUAGUCACUGCCACCAAGCUAUUAGAGCUUCGCGAUGAACUAUAACAUAUCAGGGAUAGAUAUGAUGAUCCUUGAGCUAUUCGCGAUGUUUGACACCGCGAAAAUAGAAAUCAAAUAGGAGCAUCAAUUGUUGAUGGUUAGUAAAACCACUAGUUUCUAUAAAGGCAAGGGCAGAAGGGAUACUUCAUGAAACAGCAAAUCAUUUGCUGCUCUAGUGAAGAAUCCCAAGGUUGAACCCAAACCCGAGACUAAGUGCUUCUGUAAUGAGGGGAACGGUCACUGAAGCAAAACUACCCUAGACACUUGGUAGAUGAGAAGGCAGGCAAGGUCGACAGAAGUAUAUUGGAUAUACAUUAUAUGAAUGUGUACUUUACUAGUAGUCCUAGCAGCACCAGGGUAUUAGAUACCGGUUCGGUUGCUAAGUGUUAGUAACUCGAAAUAAAAGCUGCGGAAUAAACGGAGACUAGCUAAAGGUGAGAUGACGAUAUGUGUUGGAAGUGUUUCCAAGGUUGAUGUGAUCAAGCAUCGCAUGCUCCCUCUACCAUCGAGAUUGGUGUUUGUGUUGAGCAUAAACAUGAUUGGAUUAUGUUUAUCGCAAUACGGUUAUUCAUUUAAGGAGAAUAAUGGUUACUCUGUUUAUUUGAAUAAUACCUUCAAUGGUCUUGCACCUAAAAUGAAUCUCGAUCGCAGUGAUACACAUGUUCGUGCCAAAAGAUAUAAAAUAGUAAUGAUAGUACCACAUACUUGUGGCACUUCCAUUUGAGUCAUAUUGGUAUAGAACGCAUGAAGAAGCUCCAUGUAGAUGGAACUUCGGACUCACUCGUUUUUGAAAAGAUUGAGACAUGCGAACCAUGUCUAUUGGUAUAUAUGCAUGAAGAAACUCCAUGCAGAUGGAUCGUUUGGACUCACUUGAUUUUGAAUCACUUGAGACAUGGUAAUCAUACCACAUGGGCAAGAUGACUGAAAGGCCUCGUUUUCAGUGAGAUGGAACAAGAGAGCAACUUAUUGGAAGCAAUACAUUUUGAUGUAUGCAGUCCAAUGAGUGCUGAGGCAUGCAGUGGAUAUCGUUAUGUUCUUACUUCACAGAUGAUUUGAGUAGAUGCUGAGUGUAUUUACUUGAUGAAACACAAGUCUGAAUUAUUGAAAGGUUCAAGUAAUUUCAGAGUGAAGUUGAAGAUCGUCGUGACAAGAGGAUAAAAUGUCUAUGAUAUGAUCAUAGAGAUAUCUGAGUUACGAGUUUGGCACACAAUUAAGACAUUGUGGAAAGUGUUUCACAAUUAAUACCGCCUGGAACACCACAGUGUGAUGGUGUGUCCGAACAUCAUAACUGCACCCUAUUGGAUAUGGUGCAUACCAUGAUGUCUCUUUACCACUAUCGUUUAUGGGUUAGGCAUUAGAGACAACCGCAUUCACUUUAAAUAGGGCACCACGCAAUUCCGUUGAGACGACACCGUUUAGAGAAACCUAAGUUGUCGUUUCUUAAAAGUUUGGGGCUGUGAUGCUUAUGUGAAAAAGUUUCAGGAUGAUAAGCUCGAACCCAAAGCAGAUAAAUGCAUCUUCAUAGAAUACCCAAAACAGUUGGGUAUACCUCCUGUUUCAGAUCUGGAAGUAAACAGGUCCUUUCUCGAGAAAAAGUUUCUCUCGAAAGAAUUGAGUGGGAGGAUGGUGGAGACUUGAUGAGGUUAAUGAACCAUGACUUCAACUAGUGUGUAGCAGGGCACAGGAAGUUGUUCCUGUGGCACCUACACCAAUUGAAGUGGAAGCUUAUGAUAGUGAUCAUGAAACUUCGGAUCAAGUCACUACCAAACCUCGUAGGUCGAUAAGGAUGCGUACUACUUCAGAGUGGUACGUAAUCCUGUCUUGGAAGUCAUGUUGCUAGACAACAAUGAACCUACGAGCUAUGAAGAAGCGAUGGUGGGCCCGGAUUCCGACGAAUGGCUCGAGGCCAUGAAAUCCGAGAGAGGAUCCAUGUAUAAAACAAGGUAUAGACUUUGGAAGAAAUACUUGAUGGUCGUAAGGCUGUUGGGUGCAGAUGGAUUUUAAAAGGAAGACAGACAAUAAUGGUAAGUGUCACCAUUAAGAAAGCUCGACUUGUCGUUAAGAUGUUUUUCGACAAGUUCAAGGAGUUGACUACGAUGAGAUUUUUCUCACUCAUAGCGAUGCUAAGAGUCUGUUGGAAUUGUAUUAGCAGUUACUGCAUUAUUUAUGAAAUCUUGCAGAUAGGAUGUCAAAAACAUUGUUUCCUCGACGAUUUUCUAGAGGAAAGGUUGUAUGUGAUACAACCAGAAGGUUUUUGUCAAUCCUGAAAGAUGCUAACAAGUAUGCAAAGCUCCAGCAAUCCUUCUAAGGACUGGAGUAAGCAUCUCGGAGUUGGAAUGUACGCUUUGAUGAGAUGAUCAAAGAUUUUGGGUUUAUACAAGGUUUAUGAGAAACUUGUAUUUCCAAAGAAGUGAGUGGGAGCACUAUAGAAUUUUUGAUGAGUAUAUGUUGUUAACAUAUUGAUGAUCAGAAAUGAUGUAGAAUUUCUGGAAAGCAUACAGGGUUAUUUGAAAAGUGUUUUAAUGGAAAACCUGGAUUAAGCUACUUGAACAUUGAGCAUCAAGAUCUAUAAGGAUAGAUCAAAAAACGCUUAAUAGUACUUUCAAAUGAAUACAUACCGUGACAAGUUUUUGAAGGAGUUCAAAAUAGAUUAGCAAAGAAGGAGUUCUUGGCUGUGUUACAAGGUGUGAGUGUUGAGUAAGACUCAAGACCUGACCACAGCAGAUGAGAGAGAAAGGACGAAGGUCGUCCCCUAUGCUUUAGACGUAGGCUCUACAGUAUGCUAUGCUGUGUACCGCACAUGAAGUGUGCCUUGCCAUGAGUUGGUCAAGGGGUACAAUAGUGAUCCGGGAAUGGAUCACAUGACAGCGGUCGAACUUAUCCUUAGUAUCUAGUAGACUAAGGAAUUUUCUCGAUUAUGGAGGUGAAAAGGAGUUCGUCGUAAAGGGUUACGUCGAUGCAAACUUUGACACUAAUCCGGAUGACUCUGAGUAAAGCGGACUCGUAUAUAGAGCAGUUAUUUGGUAUGGCUUCAAGUAAAGCGUGGUAGCUGCAUCUACAAGAUGACAUAGAUAUUCGUAAAGCACACACGGAUCUGAAAGGUUCAGACCCGUUGACUAAUAACCUCUCUCACAAGCGAGAUAUGAACAAACCCCAUGGGUGUUAGAUUCAUUACAAUCACAUGGUGAUGUGAACUAGAUUAUUGACUCUAGUAAACUCUUGGGUAUUAAUCACAUGGCGAUGUGAACUAGAUUAUUGACUCUAGUGCAAGUGGGAGACUGUUGGAAAUAUGCCCUAGAGGCAAUAAUAAAUUGGUUAUUAUUAUAUUUCCUUGUUCAUGAUAAUCGUUUAUUAUCCAUGCUAAAAUUGUAUUGAUAGGAAACUCAGAUACAUGUGUGGAUACAUAGACAACACCAUGUCCCUAGUAAGCCUCUAGUUGACUAGCUCGUUUAUCAAUAGAUGGUUACGGUUUCCUGACCAUGGACAUUGGAUGUCGUUGAUAACGGGAUCACAUCAUUAGGAGAAUGAUGUGAUGGACAAGACCCAAUCCUAAGCCUAGCACAAGAUCGUGUAGUUCGUUUGCUAAGAGCUUUUCUAAUGUCAAGUAUCAUUUCCUUAGACCAUGAGAUUGUGCAACUCCCGGAUACCGUAGGAAUGCUUUGGGUCUACCAAACGUCACAACGUAACUGAGUGGCUAUAAAGGUGCACUACAGGUAUCUCCGAAAGUGUCUGUUGGGUUGGCACGAAUCGAGACUGGGAUUUGUCACUCCGUGUAAACGGAGAGGUAUCUCUGGGCCCACUCUGUAGGACAUCAUCAUAAUGUGCACAAUGUGACCAAGGAGUUGAUCACGGGAUGAUGUGUUGCGGAACGAGUAAAGAGACUUGCCGGUAACGAGAUUGAACAAGGUAUCGGGAUACCGACGAUCGAAUCUCGGGCAAGUAACAUACCGAUUGACAAAGGGAAUUGUAUACGGGAUUGAUUGAAUCCCCGACAUCGUGGUUCAUCCGAUGAGAUCAUCGUGGAACAUGUGGGAGCCAACAUGGGUAUCCAUAUCCCGCUGUUGGUUAUUGGCCGGAGAACGCCUCGGUCAUGUCUGCAUGGUUCCCGAACCCGUAGGGUCUACACACUUAAGGUUCGCUGACGCUAGGGUUAUAGGGAAUAGAUAUACGUGGUUACUGAAUGUUGUUCGGAGUCCCGGAUGAGAUCCCGGACGUCACGAGGAGUUCCGGAAUGGUCCGGAGGUAAAGAUUUAUAUAUGGGAAGUCCUGUUUUGGUCACCGGAAAAGUUUCAGAUGCUAUCGGUAAUGUACCGGGACCACCGGGAGGGUCCCGGGGGUCCACCAGGUGGGGCCACCGGCCCCAGAGGGCUGCGUGGGCCAAGUGUGGGAAGGGACCAGCCCCUAGGUGGGCUGGUGCGCCUCCCACAAGGGGCCCAAGGCGCAGGGAAGGGGGGAAGGGGGAAACCCUAGGCUCAGAUGGGCCUAAGGCCCGCCUAGUGGUGCGCCCCCCUCUCUCCCCCCUUGGCCGCCCCUCCAAGUCCCAUCUAGGGCUGGCCGCACCCCUUUGGGGGAACCCUAGAUGGGGGCGCAGCCCCUUCCCCUCCCCUAUAUAUAGUGGGGGUUUUGGGGCUGCCAUAGACAUGAGACUUCCUCUCUCUUUGGCGCAGCCCUACCCCUCUCCCUCCUCGUCUCUCGCAGUGCUUGGCGAAGCCCUGCUGGAGUGCCACGCUCCUCCAUCACCACCAUGCCAUUGUGCUGCUGCUGGACGGAGUCUUCCCCAACCUCUCCCUCUCUCCUUGCUGGAUCAAGGCGUGGGAGACGUCACCGGGCUGCACGUGUGUUGAACGCGGAGGCACCGCUCUUCGGUGCUUAGAUCGGAAUCAACCGCGAUCUGAAUCGCUACGAGUACGACUCCUUCAUCCGCGUUCUUGCAACGCUUCCGCUUAGCGAUCUACAAUGGUAUGUAGAUGCACUCCCCUUCCCCUCGUUGGUAGAUUACUCCAUAGAUUGAUCUUGGUGAUGCGUGGAAAAUUUUGAAUUUCUGCUACGUUCCCCAACAAGCACUGCAACACGUUGAUGUCAUUGUGAGUUCCUGGCAUACCAAAGAAAGAGUGCCUAAUCCAGAGCUCCUGCGUGGCCACCGCCUCAAGUACCACACUGCAACCGCCUUUGCUGCCUUUUUACAUCCCCUGCCAAGCAAAUCGGCGGUUCUUCCAUUUUCAAUGCAUGCAGUGGAUGCUUCCAAGCAUCCCAGAAAAUCCUCUUGCUGCAUUAUGUGCUAGGAUUCGAGCAGUGUCUUCCGCAUUGGGUAUUCGCAAGUAUUGCGGUCAAAACACUGCCACCACUGCCCUGCAGAACUUGUAGAAACACUCAAUGGUUGUGGACUCGGCCAUGCGCCCAUAGUCGUCGAGUGAAUCACCGGGAGCUCCGUAUGCAAGCAUCCUCAUAGCUGUCGUGCAGUUCUAGAUUGAGGUGAAUCCAAGUUUGCCGGUGCAAUCCUUCUUGCACCUGAAGUAGCUGUCGAACUCCCGGAUGGAAUUCACAAUCCUGAGGAAAUGCUUUCGACUCAUCCGAUAACGGCGCCGAAAUACUUUGUCGCCGUGCAGCGGAGCGUCGGCGAAGUAGUCGGAGUAGAGCAUGCAAUAGCCUUCCAAACGAUGCCGAUUCUUUGCUUUCAGCCACCCCGACGUCGAGCCACCUCGCCGCGGCUUUUCAUUGCUCACGAGCAGGCCGGCGAGGGCGGCGAGGUGUUCCUUGUCCUGGACGUCGGCACCGGCUUCCUCUUGCAGCAGCGCCGCGAGCGCCUCCUCGUCAUCCGAGUCCAUCGCAGAGCAGACAAAAUGCCGAACACCCGGCGGGCGUGGUGGGCGCACACCCGCCGGUAUACCACCCUGCGUGGCUGGAGCGCCGAAAUACUCGCCCGGACGGCGGUGGAGAGGCUGCCGCGGCGAAACCUUCACUCUUUUCCGGUGGGGAAUGGCCUAUCUAGCGGUGCUGGGCGGUGGGCGGCGCUGGGAUCGGCAGGGUGGUGGCCGAGCGUGCGGGGGGUGGGGGGCGAAUCUGGACAAUUGGCUUGACUUUUCGUCUGACAGUGUGGCCCAGGCGUGUUUUCCCCUUCCGCCGGAGCCCCCGAGCGCCCAAGUACGCUGGGUUCGGCCUGCGAUCGCCGGGCCCAGAAACGGGCCGAGCCGGCGGAUUUCGGCGUCUUGGGGACGCGAGUGGGGGUGUUUUGGCGCUGGUGCGUAAAAAGGCGUCCUGGGGGACCUGUUGGGGACGCGGCUGGAGAUGCUCUUACUCACGCUAGGAAAAAGAGAGAGAGGGUGAGAUAAACCCGAAACCGGCGCUGGCGCCGGGCUACCACUGGGCAGGGAUGAUUGUUUAGCCCCCGCGAGGGAGGGAGAGAGGGAAUCGGAUUCCAGUCCGCCGUAAACCGGCAGCGAUUUUUAUAGUCCUACAAAUAGUAGUCUCCUACUAGUGAUCCAAUCCAGAUGAUGCCCACGGAGUGGCUCUGCGGCGGGUAGGAUUGUAGGACAGUACCCUUCCGAUGGGCGAGCCAGUCGGCCGGUCCAAGGGGCAGUGUGAAGUGGCGCCCGGCCGGAUCUGGAGCGCAUGGUCGCAUGGAUCGAUGGAGCAACCCAGCAAGCAAGAGGCUGCCGCUGUGGCUUGACGGUCAGUCUCUGGCUGCUGUGUUGCCUUGCCGCACGUGCAGCUGCGCGAUCGCCCCGACGCGGCUGCCUCCGUGCCCUUUGGCGCGCGCCCAGGAACCGGCCUCCCCGGGGUGACGCCCGCCGCGCGCGCGCGGUUGCCCUUUGGCUCGCCGGUCAGGCGGGCAGGCAGAGACGCGGCCGGUGGGCGCCGUGCGCUCUGCGCCGCUAGUUUCCCCGAGCUCCACUGUGCGCCGUACGUGGAGACGCUGUGGGAAGAGGGAUGAGCGCCCGCCGGUUGGUGGCGUGAGGUGAGGUUUUUUGAUCGUAGUCGUAGUCGUACGGGCGUGCGUAUACGCGGUCGACAGCGACUGCUACGGCCAGCGAUGGACGUUGACACUGACACGCGACGCGACGGGCGGGGAGCCGGGGAGAGGCCGAGGGCCAACGUACCGACCCGGCAUAUGCUUGGAAACUCUGAAUUUAUCUACACGUAGGCCAAGCGAGGGAGCGCUGGCUCGCUCCAUCGGUUUCGUUCGGUUUGGUUGGACCUCCUGAGGCGAGCCCUGACAUGUGAAGCGUGUGUUAUCCUCCGCGUGUGACGCAUGGCUCCCCGCCAUUAGCAGCCACGCACCGGCCUCCGCCCGCCACGGUACAUACGCUGCAGCCGCCGUGCGUGCGUGCAUGGCUCCUCGGAAGCAGGAAGGGCCGCGGUCCGUGCGCGCGCGCGCGCGCUGCUCUGCCUGGCCAUCCAAGGAGAGGCGCGCUAGGGCCAGUAGCUAGGGCGCAGGCACGCCAAGAGGCGCCAUUGUGCAAUGGCUGGCAGGCACGCCCAUCCCAUGCACGUACACCUACUACUCGGCUACUCCUCCUACUAGUACUACUACUGCCGGCCCGUUGCUCCAUCCGCAGUGAACAGCCAUGGACUGCGAUGCGGUGCUGUGCGACUUGAAAGCGCCAAGAGGCAAAGGCCCUUUGCCCAAUCGGGAGGCUGCCUCGUGCAGCUGGCUAUCUCGCUUCUUGGAUCUUUCGCCCAUAUUUAUAAGAUAUGUGUGUGCGUUUUUCCAUUUCCAGGCGCCAGCAAGCGCUUUUUAUAUAAGAGAAUAUAAAUACAACAACUGCUACGUAGUAGUACUCCUGGUGGCUGGCAACGAGCCAGCCGUUCAUCCAGCGGCUUCGGAUCGGGAACCGAUGAGCAUGCUGGUGCCCGUGCCACAUGCUCGAUCUAUGUCUAUGUCUAGAUCGGAUCACCAGCUUCUUCUCCGCUGUAUGGAUCUCUACACUGUCUGAUUCCGAAUCUGACACUCAUCUCUCACAGAAUAUAUACAUCAUGUCAAGUUGUAAACGAAUUCUGAGCAGCGCCAAUGAUCGAUGGGAUCUAGCAGUGUUUCUCCAUGUUAGAUUCAUCGCGUCUUCCGGUACGCACUAGAAAUAUGUAUGCGUACGGGGAUUGGCAAUGCACGUGGGGGGCACGUCUCAUCACAACGUAUGUACUGACGUAAAAUGAACUCCUAUCUGGUUUACUUGACGAAAAUCAAGGGGAAACCCCUUUUGCUCAACAAAAUAAAAACAUAUGGACUGACAUAAGUGCAUGCACCGUUAAAUACGCAAAGUAUACUACUCUCUCCGUCUCAUAAUGUAAAAACGUUUUUGACACUACACUAGCGUCAAAAACGCUUUUAUAUUAUGAGACGGAGGGAUGGUCCUCAUACUACUCGAGCUCGAGCUGCGAUGUUGUUCGAUUUUUCCUUCCAAAAGGGAAGACCUAGCUAAUUACUAGCACUAAUCUGAAGCUUAGUUGGCCUCAUUGCCUACCUGGGGUCACUGCGUGCUCAAAUCCAAAGGCCGUCUUCAUGCAUGGGGCAGGCUUAAUUGGGAGAGCCGAUGUAGUAUAAAGUACGUUGUGCUAUGAUUAACUUUUGUUGUAGUGUUCCAUUAUUUAUAUAAAUGUCACUCAUUAGGACCAUGAUCUUAGUAACUUUUGUUUGCGCUCCAUUUUGUAUACAAGUGUCACCCAUUAGGAUCAUGAUCUCAGUAACCCCAUCCAUUCUUUUAUGUGCCCUUUUCGGAUAUCCAAUGCAGAUCCUGUCUGGGCUUUUCUAACUACAUGUAAAGCUACAUUAUUAAAGCCUAAUGUUGUAUACUAAUAAGCAUGCGAGGACAAAUCUCAAGUUGAAAAAAAUCAAAUCAAUCAAUGUAUGUCCUUGUAUCGCUCUACUUCCCUUGUAUGUAUACUAUGUAUGUAAGGAUAUCUCCAAUGUAAGCCCUCAAAACGGACACCACAGAUGUCCGGAUGAGAGAGAGAGAGAGAUAGAUAAAGAUACAUACAUAUAUAUAUAUAUAUAGAGAGAGAUAGAUAGAGAGAUAGAGAGAUAGAUAGAUAGAUGGAUAGAUAGAGUGAGAGAGAUAGAGAUAGAUAGAUAGAUAGAGAGGGAGAGAUAGAUAGAGAUAUAUAGAUAGAUAGAUAGAUUAGAUAGAUAGAUAGAUAGAUAGAUAGAUAGAUAGAUAGAGAGAGAGAUAGAUAGAUAGAUAGAUAGAUAGAGUGAUAGAUAGAUAGAUAGAUAGAGUGAUAGAUAGAUAGAUAGAUAGAUAGAUAUAGAGGUAGAUAUAGAGGUAGAUAGAGAGAUNNNNNNNNNNNNNNNNNNNNNNNNNNNNNNNNNNNNNNNNNNNNNNNNNNNNNNNNNNNNNNNNNNNNNNNNNNNNNNNNNNNNNNNNNNNNNNNNNNNNNNNNNNNNNNNNNNNNNNNNNNNNNNNNNNNNNNNNNNNNNNNNNNNNNNNNNNNNNNNNNNNNNNNNNNNNNNNNNNNNNNNNNNNNNNNNNNNNNNNNNNNNNNNNNNNNNNNNNNNNNNNNNNNNNNNNNNNNNNNNNNNNNNNNNNNNNNNNNNNNNNNNNNNNNNNNNNNNNNNNNNNNNNNNNNNNNNNNNNNNNNNNNNNNNNNNNNNNNNNNNNNNNNNNNNNNNNNNNNNNNNNNNNNNNNNNNNNNNNNNNNNNNNNNNNNNNNNNNNNNNNNNNNNNNNNNNNNNNNNNNNNNNNNNNNNNNNNNNNNNNNNNNNNNNNNNNNNNNNNNNNNNNNNNNNNNNNNNNNNNNNNNNNNNNNNNNNNNNGAUGGAGAUAGAUAGAUAGAGUGAUAGAGUGAGAGAAAGAUAGAGAUAGAUAGAUAGAGAGGCAUAGAGAUAGAUAGAGAUAUAGAGAGGGAUAGAUGGAUAGAUAGAUAGAGAGAGAAAUAGAUAGAUAGAUAGAUAGAGUGAUAGAGUGAGAUAGAGAUAGAGAUAGAUAGAUAGAGAGUGAGAGAGAGAUAGAGAUAGAUAGAGAGAGAGAGAUAGAGAUAGAUAGAUAGAGUGAUAGAUAUCACUAGUAGAAAACUGGGCUUUGGUCACAGAGCAAUAUUCACAUUAGUCCCGGUUCAGUCAGGAACCGCGAACUGGGACUAAUGUGAGCAUUGGUCCCGGUUCGUGCGGCCAGGGGCCUGCCGGGCCUCGUGGGGGCAUUGGUCCCGGUUCGUCCGGACCCUUUGGUCCCGGUUGGUGGGACAAACCGGGACCAAUGGGCCACGCUCCUGGCCCACCACCCUUUAGUCCCGGUUCCUACCACAAACCGGGACUAAAGGGCUGGUCCUAGUUGCGGCCAGUGUUUAGUCCCACCUCGCCAACCGAAGGGCGCUCACACCAAUUUAUAAGCCCGUCCCUCUCUGCCUUGUUGAGCUCCUCUUAAAGUGAAAAUAGAUGCCCUUAUACAGGAAAUUUGACCUAAAUUCACAGUAAAUUUCAUAGAAACUUAUUAUGAAUUUAGGUUGAAUUUCCUCUAUAAGCGCAUCUAUGUUCAUUUUUUAUAUUUAUAAAAUAAAUAAACCUUAAUAAAAUAAAUAAAAAUAAAUAAACCUUAAUAAAAUAAAAUAAAAUAAACUAUAGUAACUAAAAUAAAUAAACCUUAAUAAAUUAAGUAAAAAUAGCAGCAGUAAAAUAAAUAAAAAUAGCAGCAGUAAAAUAAAUAAAAAUAGAAUAAUUAAAGUAAAAUACAUAAGUAAUUAGAAAUAAAAUAAAUAAGUUUUUUGUUGUAAGUAGAAACAAAACAAAACAAAUAAAGCAAAAGAGAAAAAAAAUAGAGGAAAAAAAUUAUGCCACCUACUGGGCCACCACGGCCUGAAUACGACUAGAAACCCAUCCAUGGGCCAGGAUUCAGGCCCGCAGAAGGCUCAGUAGGCUCCACAGGCAAAGAGAACGGUUAGGCCCGAAAGCCUGCAGUUGAGAGGAGUUCGAGAGGGUGGGUGCAGCAGCGCUUAUAAACCACUCUCGAGCUCUCUCAACUAGCGAGGUGGGACUAAACUUUUGACGCGGGGCAGCACAAGGCCUUUGGUCCCGGUUGGUGCCACUAACCGGGACUAAAGGGGGCAUUGGU
rnacentral:lncRNA from 1 species